rnacentral:lncRNA from 1 species
GGCGAGCCACUCGACGCCGUCGUCGCCAUGGACGGGCUGUGGUGAGCUCGACGCUGACAGCUGUUCAUCGCCCUUCGUCUUCUUCGUCAGCGCCAUAAGCACGCGGAGGCCAUGGGAGAUCCAUUCCCGCAGCAACCGGACACCGAGGCCGGUGCACGACGCCCCGACGACGAGCAUCUUCUUCACCUCCGGCGAUCUCUUCUGCGGAGUACCUCGACGUCGCGCAUUCCUUUCCUGCGCCGACUCUCCUCUCCGCCCCGUGGUGAGCAGUCGAAGCCUCGUCCCCUCUCCUCUGUCCGAAGUAUCGCGUAGCUGCGUCGCCAGCGUGUCGCCUUGCCGCGCGGCUCUGUAGAGCAGGGCAGCGGAGGUAGCUAGUAGCGGCAAGUAGCAGUAGAAGCCGCAUCAUGCACCCAGCAGUAGCAGCACCACAGCAUCCACAACAUGCAGUUGCAGUAGCACCGAGCGAGCAGUGCAUUCGCGCGCGUAUAGAGCAGCUCGUACGUCGCGUGCGUCGCCGGAGUCGCUCAUCCGUGCGUGUCUCUGUUGCCAUGGAGCUAGCCCCCUGUCUUGCGUUCAACUAGCGUAGAUCCCCCAGUUCGAGCAAACGCCCCACGGUAGCCCAGUGGCAAUAGAGCGUGCGUUGCACCGCAGCGUCCUGAGUUCGAUCCCCAGCGUGCCCCUUUUUCUUUUCAGGGGUUUUUUCCAUCGGCGCUCUUCGAGUAAUUAACUUAGGGAAGUUUCCUCCCGUAGUAGAGCAGUGUUACGAUCCCUAGCAAGCUGGUUCGACCGAGCCAUGGCGACCGUGAGGUCCUGGGUUCGAGUCCCCAUGUCGCCUUUUUUUACUGUUUUAUAUUUCCUGUUGUGAUUAGGGAGUUAGUCAUUGUAUGUCUGCAUACCUUCCCAUACUAGUUCAGCUGCAUGUGGCUAGCCCACUGGUGAUGGUCGUGCACUCCACCAGGGAGAUGGUGGGUUCGACUCCCACCUCUCUCAUAUUUUCCUUUUAUGUGUUGUGACUUGUGUGUGCCACUGACAGGUGGUCCCGGGGCCCUGGUGACUAUGACCAGUAGGCCCCCUGUCAGUUUACAUUUUAGUGGUGAUAUAUUUGUGACUUGUGUGAAAUAUCCUUGUUUGGAGUAAUUCCAGAAAUGGAAUGGCCUGAUCUGGUAUAUCCCAAAUUGGGCAGGCUCAGGAACGGUUCAUGUUCUUGACUAUGCUGUAGUUUGAUCCUGUGUUAUUUUUCUUUUGUUGUUUGUGGUGUUUUUCUGCAUGUAACAUGGGCAGUAUGACAUAUGGAUUUGGGGUAGCAGAACCCAAUGAAUCCAAAGGUGACACUGGAUUCCAGUCGUGAGCAGUUAUGCAGAAGUGUCACUUUGUGUUGAGGUGGCACUUGUUGACCUCGUAGGUUGGUGUAAGUGCAUAGUUAGGGAUUGAGCAUACAUGCAUCAUUUUAGUUAGUGCUUCCUGUUGUGCAUGUCUCUUGAAUGUAGCUCCGUUCUUUGUUCCACAUGUUAACCGACUAGGAUGACAUGUAGAAUCACCGCUUCACCUCUUGCCAUGUUUAACCACAUUUAAUACUGCCGUGUAUCUAAUCGGGAUAGAACUAAAUAACUCAUAUGUGGAGUUUCGUCAAUAUGCAACUCGUUGCAUAUUGAACUUCACUUAAUGUGUAGUGUUUGUUUGUGUGAUUUGUCAUGUCGUGACUUGCAUGUAUUCAGCUGCUCAUGCAUCAUAUGUGUUGUGCAUCGUGUGGUGAAUUCCGUGUGUUGAUUUGUGUUUCCGGUUUGCUUCGUUCCGAUAGAGUUCCGCAAGCGUGUCGGAAUGUGAGGACCCGUUCGACUACGUCAGUUCGUCUGCUUCACGGAGGCAUUCUUCUUCCAAGCGGGAUCUCAGGCAAGAUGAUCAUUUCCUCAGAUACCAUUACUAUCAUUGCCAUGCUAGUUAUUUCGAUGCUAUCGUUUAUGUCUUGUUGCCUACCACAUGUUAAAUCUCAGCCUCUCAACAAUGCCAUGAAACCUUCAACCUGUUCAACCUAGCAAACCACUUAUUGGCUAUGUUAGUGCUUGCUUAACCCUGUUGAUAGCGUUGCUAGUUGCAGGUGCAGUUGCUUCCAUGUGAAACAUGGGUUCCUUGUCAUAUCACCAUAUUAAAUGCUAUUUAAUUUAAUGCACCUAUAUACUUGGUAAAAGGUGGAAGGCUCGGCCUUUCUAGCCUGGUGUUUUGUUCCACCUUUGCCCCCUUUAGUUAUCGGCUGCCGGUGUUAUGUUCCAUAAAUGAGCGCUCCUAACACGAUCGGGGUUGUUAUGGGGACCCCCUUGAUAAUUCGUUUUAGAUUAAAGCUGGUCUGGCAAGGCCCAACAUUGGUACUACAUUUUCCUAAUAACCUAAUAAUAAUGCAUAGGGACCUGCCGGCACCCGCGGACUAUUUUAAUCAACCCCCGGGCCAGUGCUCCUCAUGAGUGUUGGUCCCACCUGAGCGAUGUCCGGCGCCCCUCUGGUCACCCGGAGGUUUAGCGAUCCCAACGUCUAGCUCAUCCGCCGUGUCCUGAGAAUGAGGUACGCGACUCCUAUCGGGAUCGUCGACACGUCGGGCGGCCUUGCUGGAUUAGUUUUACCUUUGACGAGAUAUCUUGUGCAUCGGGAUUCCGGUGAUGCUUUGGGUAAUCUCAGAGUUGAGGUUUUCCAUUAGGGAAUCCGACGAGAUCGCGAGCUUCAUGAUUGAGGAUUUCUAUGCGGCUUGUGGUAAUUUGUGAUGGACUAGUUGGAGCACCCCCGCAGGGUUAAAUCUUUCAGAAAGCCGUGCCCGCGGUUAUGUGGCAACGUGGAAGCUUUGUUUAACACUGGUUCUAGAUAACUUGAAGUUAACUUAAUUAAAACAUGCCAACUGUGUGCGUAACCGUGACUGUCUCUUUCGUGAGUUCCUUCUCCGAUCGAGGACACGGUGGGGUUAUGUCUGACGUAGGUAGGUGUUCAGGAUCAUUCUUUUGAUCAUCUGUAGUGACGUCCGUUAUGCGUAGAUCUCCCCCCUCUUAUUUCUUGUACUCGUAAGUUAGCCACCAAAUAUAUGCUUUGUCGCUGCUGCAACCUCACCAUUUAACCAUGCCUCACCCAUUAAGCUUUGCUAGUCUUGAUACCUUUGGAAAUGAGAUUGCUGAGUCCCCUGUGGCUCACAGUUUACUACAACACCAGUUGCAGGUACAGAUACAGGUUACUCGACGUGAGCGCGUUGAUUGUUCAUUUGGAGUUGCUUCUUCUUCUUCUUCUUCCUCGAUCUAGGAUGGGUUCCAGGCCGGUAGCCUGGGAUAGCAAGGAUGGACGUCGUUCUUCUUUUGUCGUUUGUUUUCGUCCGUAGUCGGACCCUGCUCUUACUCUUGAUGAUUAUGUAAUGUACUGAUGUGACUCUGAUGUAGCUUGUGGCGAGUGUAAGCCAACUCUUUAUAUGUCUCUCCUGUUCAGUACAUGUACUUGUAACAAUAUCCAUUCUUGCAACACGACGAGAUGCGCUUCUAUCCCUGACGAGGCCCCCGUGCCAAAUUGAGGAUAGGGUCGCAUCUUGGGCGUGACAAGUUGGUAUCAGAGCAAGGACCGACCUAGGAGCCCCCUUGAUUGAUCGAACUUGGCCUAGUCGAGUCUAGUGAAAAACUAUUUGAGUCUAGUUAUAUAUCGGAGAGUUGGAUUCUUUUUUCUCCUCUUCUAUGCUCUGGUGAGGAAUCUUGACGUAAUAAUUUAUUCUACUCCUCUUCUCACUCAAAUUUUUUUAGGAUCACGCGGAUAUUCUUGGGGUCUAUAUGAUGCCGAUGUGACGGAGUUCUGUCUUGGUGCCUCCUGUCUGACUUGAUUUUCUUCCGGGGAGUUGAGCUCCAGGGGAUUCUUGAGCACAUCGUUAUCAUUUAGAUUUCUUAGUAUCUCAGGACGAAGGAUGUUCGUAAUUGCUUCAAUACUAGUAGUGGCGAGAUAACCCCGAUGUCUCCAGUACUGGUGCAGAUUGUUCGGGAGUACUGCCAUACUUUGUAUCAUUGUGAUCACGAGGGUCUGUUGUAGAUGAAGGUCCGAGAUUCUGGUCGUGUGUUGACGGAUGUGAUACAAGUGACGGGUUAGUAUAGGAGUUGUGUGAUAUUACUCCUUGUAUCCAUGUACCAGAUUGCAUGACCAGAUAUUUCGGAAAUUCAUAGGUGGGAAUUCAAGUAGUUUCUUAUAGGACAAUCUUCCAACAAAUGCAUGAUGUUAGGUUGGGGUUCGACAUCUAGUGGAUUCGUUUGUUCACGGUCGACUUACAGCAGUACACGUUGUGUCUUACAGAGUCCUUGUAGCUUGCUACGACUCGGGGACGCUUCGUAUGUCGGGUGCACUGACUUGCACUUGAUGACUACUGUAAAUCGUGCCCGUGCGAUCCUGUCCACGAAAAUAUCGAACGGAAAACUUUCUCAUGAGUUUGUUCUGGCUAAUUGCAAGUCGCACCCUUGUUUUGUUGAAUAUGGUAAUUCGAGUUGCUUCGAUGUCAAGUGGUGAUUUCAGAUCUUUCCUAAGAGAUGUUCUCAUAUUUUUAUGUGAGAAUGCAAAUUCUUUUGUUCGUUCAAUUGUCAUGUCAAUUCUUGUCAACCGGAGUCGUCAUGUCAAUUCUUUUCAACUGGUGUGUUUCUCUCCAAGUGGAUUCAAUCCUCUCCAAUUUGUCAAGAGAAUUCUCUUAGUCCAUCCGGAGUUCAUCUCAUCUGUCCCAAGUUGUCUGUGUUUUUCCCCGCCCUCCCGCCCUUUUUCUUCAGUGAUUCAAUUUUUUAUCCUGGAGUUUUCUUUUCAUUGUGAUUUCAAUGUCUGUUCUUUUCUAUCUUAUCCGGUGAUUCAUUAUGAAGAUUCUCAGGAGCUUCGUGUUCAUCUUUAUUCAUUAUUGUCAUCUUUUCCGGUGAAUUUAAUUCAGUAUCCGUGUCAUCAUGUCCUUUUCAUCCUUGUAAUUCUUUCCGAUGUUGGAAAUUUUUAUCAGUCUAUCUUCUUGUGGUCGUUUCUCUCUAUUCUAUCCGGAGUGUUGAAGCUAUCUCAGAAUUCUUGUUCUCAGUUCUUUUAAGUAUUUCGGGGUGCUAACUUCAUCUAGUCCUCUUCAUACCGGUGCAAUAUCAAUCUUUCUAGCAAUCUUUUCUAACAGACGUUUCUUUGAGUGGGCCCAUAACCCACAGGUUCUUUCCCAGGAUCUUUCCUGGCGUUUUUAAUCUUUUCCCGGAGAUCAUUAAAUCUGUCAACUAUGACGUAAGUAUGAUUCCAUCAGUCAUAUUACUUCUUCAAGUUCUAUUUGAAUUAAUUCAUUCUUUGGCUCAACCUUUCAUUCUUCUUUAUUCCGGAGUGUCUUAGUAAUUCUUGGCGUUGUUAUCGUCAUCAUUCUCAGCUUGCAUUUGAAGGAGUGUUUUUCUUAAUCUUGGUUCAUUCUCUUAAAUAUUCAUCACUCCAGCCUUCUGGCAUCAUCUUGAAUUGUUCCAAUCAUGAGCAAUCAUUUCUUGCUAUCCGGUACAUUUCUGAGUUGUUUUUAUUCUCGAUCCUCCGAAGGCCAUCAUUUUAGAAGAUUCUUCGUUCUCAGCUUUCAGCUUUCAUCCUCAAAUCUUCCUAAUUGUUGCCUCUUCGUUCGUCUCUCGAUUAUCCGGUGCCUUGUUCAAGUUUUCUCUCAGGUGGCUCGUCAUCUCUUCAUUCUCAUGUAUCUCCAUUCAUUCAUGGUUGCCUCAUUCAUUUCAAUUCUCACCGGUGCCUCUUUCAAGAUUUCUUCUAGUUUGUGCUCAUAUCUCUCCUUAAUCAUUUCUAGAAGAAUAAGUUGUAUGCUAGAUCUGUUGCUUGUCAUCAAUUUAACUUGAUGAAGGAUAAGCAUAACAUAAUUCUUAUUCUUGUCCUUCCUUCUUCCAAGAGAUCUCAAUUCUUCUUCCGGAGGGGCUCGUGAUAUCAAUUCUUUUCUCGUGUGCUUAUCUUUUUCCGAAGUUCCAAGUUAUUUUAAGUUUCUCUUUGUGAAGCUUCAUCUAAAUCUUGGCAAGGUCAUAACCUUAUUCUUUUCUACCUUCAUAUCGUUGCAUCUUUCAUUUGUAUACGGAGGUCCUUCUUGGUGGUUCAUCAAGGAUGUGAUUCAUUCUCAUGUGUUCUUCAAGAUUCCUGUUGGAAUACCUCAAGUAUCCUUUCUCUUGCAUUUUCAAGUGCAAUUGUUCUUCCUUUAUCCUUUGAGGUGGUAUUAUAGCCUUCUUGUUAGUGUAGGAGCCUCGAAGAGUUUUCCUUUCAAGGAUGAGAUAAAUAAAUCCACCAAUUCUAUGAUCAUGAGAUAUUUCAACCCAUGAUUUCUUCAUUGAGCUAUCUUGGUUUGAAUUUCACCUAAAGCUUUUCCUAUGGAUUGUUGCUAUCAUGGUGCUUGUCUUUAAUCCAAGUUUUCAAUGUACCCUCUUGGUGUAAGUAAGUGUUCAUAUCUUGUUGCUCCCAAUCUAUCCCUGGUUCUUGUAGUGGUUGGUUGUCACCUCAUAUUUGUUGAGAUGAUUUUCAUAAGCCCACUACUAUCUUGUUCUUUUGUUGUUGUUUUUCCAACAGAUCCGUCCAAUUCUUCUUGCAAGGAUGCUUGUCAAGUUCAUUGGAGUUAGUAGUUGUCAUUCUCUCUUCAUUCUCUUCUUCCGUAUGAGCUAGUUCAUAUUCUAUUGUUCUGGAGGCUUUGUGAUAUUGCUCUUUUGGGUCAAUCUUGUUGUUCUAUCAAGUUCAUGGUGUUCCCUUGUUCUAAUUAGUUGUUUGUUAUGUAUAUUGGCUAAUUCUCCUACCUUUUCGAAUUUUUUGUCCCAUUUUCCUAUCGAAGUGCUGCCGAAAUUUUCAGUGAAUUCUUGCUUCUUUCUCAUAUCAUUCCUCAUCUCUUUGCAACCUUCAAGGAUUGUUGGUGUCACUCGUUUGUCAAAGAAGCAACUAAGUUUUACCUUUUGCUUUUCUCAUCCUCUCCCCCUUUCAUUCUUGGAUCUCGGGGCGAGAUCCUCUUGUAGUGUAGGAGAGUUGUGACAGCCCGACACCGACGCUCCAGAAGAUUCCCCUUUUAAUUCGUUGUCGUGGUGUGUUUUAUUUUGUUUGUUGCACUCAUCACGCAUCAUGCAUCAUCUCCAUCAUCUCUGUUGUGAUUGCUUCCCUUAUUGUGUUCAUGUUUUUUUUCUUCUUCUGCUACUCCUAGCCACUCCUUGACCCUUCAUCUUUUUCCCAUUCUCAACUUAUUUCAAUCCAUUGCAUCCUCUUGUUUCAUACCAUCUUCAUUUUUGUUCUCAUGCACAAUGCUUUGCCCUACCUCCCAAAUUCUCCAUGCCACUUCCUCCUAGUCGUUUUCUUUUUUUUAGUUGCCAAUAUUAUCUUACCCAAAUAAAUGUUCCUAUUGUGCCCAUAAAUCAUAUGUAUUAUGUAGGGUCACCCUAUGAAAUUGCAAGCCAUUCGGAUUUGGUUUGGUUGGGUUUUAAAAUCAGACCAGUUGGAAUUAAAUUCAAACUUGUUUGAAUUUAUAGUCUGUAAAACACCUCCAACAAUUUUUUAGAAUUUUGCACUUUUUUUUUCUGGUUUCCAAGGAAAAUAUUUAUCUCUAUCUAUUUUUCCCAACUGUACUUUUUUCUUCUUCUCAAGCUUCUAUUUUAUUUAAAUAGAAAAGAGAGAAUAUUUUGAGAUAGAGGAAGAAGUUGGCCCAACCACUAACCUGUAGACAACCUUCAAGCCCAAGCCCACCUCUCCUCCUUCUCCUACCUACGUCACCUCUGUACGAACCCUCUGGCCACCAUUGAUCGCUUCUCUCCUCCAUCAAACGGCCACCAGAGCCCCCUCCCCACCUAUUUAGCACAUGCCUGCAACCUAGGGUUCUUCCUCGACCCGUUUUUCCUCCUCCUCUCCCUCCUAGCGCCGUCGGGGCGAGCCACUUGACACCGUCGUCGCCAUGGACGGGCUGUGGUGAGCUCGACGCCGGCAGCUGUUCAUCGCCCUUCGUCUUCUUCGUCAGCGCCAUAAGCACGCGGAGGCCAUGGGAGAUCCAUUCCCGCAGCAACCAGACACCGAGGCCGGUGCACGACGCCCUGACGACGAGCAUCUUCUUCACCUCCGGCGAUCUUUUCUGCGGAGUACCUCGACAUCGCGCGGUCCUUUCCUGCGCCGACUCUCCUCUCCGCCCCGUGGUGAGCAGUCGAAGCCUCGUCCCCUCUCCUCUGUCCGGAGUAUCGCGUAGCUGCGUCGCCAGCGUGUCGCCUUGUCGCGCGGCUCUGUAGAGCAGGGCAGCGGAGGUAGCUAGUAGCGGCAAGUAGCAGUAGAAGCCGCAUCAUGCACCCAGCAGUAGCAGCACCACAGCAUCCACAACAUGAAGUGGCAGUAGCAGCGAGCGAGCAGUGCAUUCGCACGCGUGUAGAGCAGCUCGUACGUCGCGUGCGUCGCCGGAGUCGCUCAUCCGUGCGUGUCUCUAUUGCCAUGGAGCUAGCCCCCUGUCUUGCGUUCAACUAGCGUAGAUCCCCCAGUUCGAGCAAAUGCCCCACGGUAGCCUAGUGGCAAUAGAGCGUGCGUUGCACCGCAGCGUCCUGAGUUCGAUCCCCAGCGUGCCCCUUUUUCUUUUUUGGGGUUUUUCCCAUCGGCGCUCUUCGAGUAAUUAACUUAGGGAAGUUUCUUCCCGUAGUAGAGCAGUGUUACGAUCCCUAGCAAGCUGGUUCGACCGAGCCAUGGCGACCGUGAGGUCCUGGGUUCGAGUCCCCAUGUCGCCCUUUUUUUACUGUUUUAUAUUUCCUGUUGUGAUUAGGGAGUUAGUCAUUGUAUGUCUGCAUAUCUUCCCAUACUAGUUCAGCUGCAUGUGGCUAGCCCAUUGGUGAUGGUCGUGCACUCCACCAGGGAGAUGGUGGGUUCGACUCCCACCUCUCUCAUAUUUUCCUUUUAUGUGUUGUGACUUGUGUGUGCCACUGAUAGGUGGUCCCAGGGCCCUGGUGACUAUGACCAGUAGGCCCCCUGUCAGUUUACAUUUUAGUGGUGACAUAUUUGUUACUUGUGUGAAAUAUCCUUGUUUGGAGUAAUUCCAGAAAUGGAAUGGCCUGAUCUGGUAUAUCCCAAAUUGGGCAGGCUCAGGAACAGUUCAUGUUCUUGACUAUGCUGUAGUUUGAUCCUGUGUUAUUUUUAUUUUAUUGUUUGUGGUGUUUUUCUGCAUGUAACAUGGGCAGUAUGAUAUAUGGAUUUGGGGUAGCAGAACCCAAUGAAUCCAAUGGUGACACUGGAUUCCAGUCGUGAGCAGUUAUGCAGAAGUGUCACUUUGUGUUGAGGUGGCACUUGUUGACCUCGUAGGUUGGUGUAAGUGCAUAGUUAGGGAUUGAGCAUACAUGCAUCAUUUUAGUUAGUGCUUCCUGUUGUGCAUGUCUCUUGAAUGUAGCUCCGUUCUUUGUUCCACGUGUUAACCGACUAGGAUGACAUGUAGAAUCACCGCUUCACCUCUUGCCAAGUUUAACCACAUUUAAUAGUGCCGUGUAUCUAAUCGGGAUAGAACUAAAUAACUCAUAUGUGGAGUUUCGUCAAUAUGCAAAUCGUUGCAUAUUGAACUUCACUUAAUGUGUAGUGUUUGUUUGUGUGAUUUGUCAUGUCGUGACUUGCAUGUAUUCAGCUGCUCAUGCAUCAUAUGUGUUGUGCAUCGUGUGGUGAAUUCCGUGUGUUGAUUUGUGUUUCCGGUUUGCUUCGUUCCGAUAGAGUUCCGCAAGCGUGUCGGAAUGUGAGGACCCGUUCGACUACGUCAGUUCGUCUGCUUCACGGAGGCAUUCUUCUUCCAAGCGGGAUCUCAGGCAAGAUGAUCAUUUCCUCAGAUACCAUUACUAUCAUUGGCAUGCUAGUUAUUUCGAUGCUAUAAUUUAUGUCUUGUUGCCUACCACAUGUUAAAUCUCAGCCUCUCAACAAUGCCAUGAAACCUUCAACCUGUUCAACCUAGCAAACCACUGAUUGGCUAUGUUACUGCUUGCUUAACCCUGUUGAUAGCGUUGCUAGUUGCAGGUGCAGUAGCUUCCAUGUGAAACAUGGGUUCCUUGUCAUAUCACCAUAUUAAAUGCUAUUUAAUUUAAUGCACCUAUAUACUUGGUAAAAGGUGGAAGGCUCGGCCUUUCUAGCCUCGUGUUUUGUUCCACCUUUGCCCCCUUUAGUUACCGGCUACUGGUGUUAUGUUCCAUAAAUGAGCGCUCCUAACACGAUCGGGGUUGUUAUGGGGACCCCCUUGAUAAUUCGUUUUAGAUUAAAGCUGGUCUGGCAAGGCCCAACAUUGGUACUACAUUUUCCUAAUAACCUAAUAAUAAUGCAUAGGGACCCGUCGGCACCCGCGGACUAUUUUAAUCAACCCCCGGGCCAGUGUUCCUCAUGAGUGUUGGUCCCACCUGAGCGAUGUCCGGCGCCCCUCUGGUCACCCGGAGGUUUAGCAAUCCCGACGUCUAGCUCAUCCGCCGUGUCCUGAGAACGAGGUACGCGACUCCUAUCGGGAUCGUCGACACGUCAGGCGGCCUUGCUGGAUUAGUUUUACCUUUGACGAGAUAUCUUGUGCAUCGGGAUUCCGGUGAUGCUUUGGGUAAUCUCAGAGUUGAGGUUUUCCAUUAGGGAAUCCGACGAGAUCGCGAGCUUCAUGAUUGAGGAUUUCUAUGCGGCUUGUGGUAAUUUGUGAUGGACUAGUUGGAGCACCCCCGCAGGGUUAAAUCUUUCAGAAAGCCGUGCCCGCGGUUAUGUGGCAACGUGGAAGCUUUGUUUAACAUUGGUUCUAGAUAACUUGAAGUUAACUUAAUUAAAACAUGCCAACUGUGUGCGUAACCAUGACUGUCUCUUUCGUGAGUUCCUUCUCCGAUCGAGGACACGGUGGGGUUAUGUCUGACGUAGGUAGGUGUUCAGGAUCAUUCUUUUGAUCAUCUGUAGUGACGUCCGUUAUGCGUAGAUCUCCCCCCUCUUAUUUCUUGUACUCGUAAGUUAGCCACCAAAUAUAUGCUUAGUCGCUGCUGCAACCUCACCAUUUAACCAUGCCUCACCCAUUAAGCUUUGCUAGUCAUGAUACCUUUGGAAAUGAGAUUGCUGAGUCCCCUAUGGCUCACAGUUUACUACAACACCAGUUGCAGGUACAGAUACAGGUUACUCGACGUGAGCGCGUUGAUUGUUCAUUUGGAGUUGCUUCUUCUUCUUCUUCUUCCUCGAUCUAGGAUGGGUUCCAGGCCGGCAGCCUGGGAUAGCAAGGAUGGACGUCGUUUUUCUUUUGUCGUUUGUUUUCGUCCGUAGUCGGACCCUGCUCUUACUCUUGAUGAUUAUGUAAUGUACUGAUGUGACUCUGAUGUAGCUUGUGGCGAGUGUAAGCCAACUCUUUAUAUGUCUCUCCUUUUCAGUACAUGUACUUGUAACGAUAUCCAUUCUUGCGACACGACGAGAUGCGCUUCUAUCCCUGACGAGGCCCCCGUGCCAAAUUGAGGAUAGGGUCGCAUCUUGGGCGUGACAGAGACUUACAAGGAUAUCAAAUCAUGCAUAUAAGAAAUCAGCAAAGACUCAAAUAUAAAUCAUAGAUAAUCUGAUCACAAAUCCACAAUUCAUCGGAUCUCGACAAACACACCGCCAAAGAGGAUUACAUCGGAUAGAUCUCCAUGAAGAUCAUGGAGAACUUUGUAUUGAAGAUCCAAGAGAGAGAAGAAGCCAUCUAGCUACUAACUAUGGACCCGUAGGUCUGAAGUGGACUACUCACGAGUCCUUGGAGAGGCAAUGAUGUUGAUGUAGAAGCCCUCCAGCUCCAAAGUCCCCUCCGGCAGGGCACCGGGAAGGGUCUCCAGAUGAGAUCUCGCGAAAACGGAAGCUUGCGGCGGUGGAAAAGUGGUUUCGUGGACGCCCUGAUUUUUUCUGGGAUUUUAGGGAAUAUAUAGGCCAAAGAGCUAGGGCAGGGGAGCGUGAGGGAGGCCACAAGCCUGGAAGCCGCGGGCCCCCCGGCCGCGACUACAGGGCUUGUGGGCUCCCUGUGGGCCUCCUGCCUUGGCCCUCAAGUCCCCCGAUCUUCUUCUGUUCUGGAAAAAUUCAUUUCGGUGAUUUUAUUCCCUUUGGACUCCGUUCCAAAAUCAGAUCUGAAAAGAGUCAAAAACACAGAAAAAACAGGAACUAGCACUUGGCACUGAAUUAAUAAGUUAGUCCCAAAAAAGAUAUAAAAGGUAUAUAAAACAUCCAAAGUUGACAAGAUAACAGCAUGAAACCAUCAAAAAUUAUAGAUACGUUUGAGACGUAUCAGCGUGCGAGUGGGCCACAAGCCCACAGGCCGCGGCCACCCCCCUUGGCCGCGCCGUGAGGGCUUGUGGGGCCCACGUGGCACCAACGCACCCAAACUCAGCUCUAUAUCUUCUGUUUCGCCCGGAAAAAAUCGAGAGAAGGUUUCAUCGCGUUUUACGAUACGGAGGCGCCGCCACCUCCUGUUCUUCAUCUGGAGGGCAGAUCUGGAGUCCGUUCGGGGCUUCGGAGAGGGGAAAUCAUCGCCAUCGUCAUCAUCAACCUUCCUUCAUUGACAAUUCCAUGAUGCUCUUCAUCGUUCGUGAGUAAUCUCAUCGUAGGCUUGCUGGACGGUGAUGAGUUGGAUGAGAUCUAUCAUGUAAUCGAGUUAGUUUUGACGGCGAUUGAUCCCUAUUAUCCACUAUGUUCUAGAUUGAUGUUGCUACUACUUGGCUAUGCUUAAUGCUUAUCAUUAGGGCCCGAGUGCCAUGAUUUCAGAUCUGAACCUAUUAUGUUGUCGCCAAUAUAUGUGUGUUUUAGAUCCUAUAUUGCAAGUUGUAGUCACUUUCUAUGUGUUAUGACCCGGCAACCCCGGAUGACAAUAGCCGGAACCACUCCCGGAGAUGACCAUAGUAUGAGGAGUUCAUGUAUUCACCGCGUGUUAAUGCGUUGGUUCGGUUCUUUAUUAAAAGGAGAACCUUAAUAUCCCAUAGUUUCCAUUAGGACCCCGCUCGCAUGGGAGGGAUGGACAAUAGAUGUCAUGCAAGUUCUUUUCCCUUAAGCACGUAUGACUACAUACGGAAUACAUGCCUACAUUAGAUUGACGAACGGGAGCUAGUUACAUAUCUCUCCGUGUUAUAGCUGUUACAUGAUGAAUCACAUCCGUCAUACUCAUCCAUCACCAAUCCAUUGCCUACGAGUCUUUUACUACUGGUCCUUGCUACGUUACUUUGUCCAGGCUUGUCCCUUGCUACAAAAGGGAUUGGGCCACUUUGGUGCUACUGCUGUCGCUACUGAUGUUACUCUGCUGUUCCUUACCACUGCUGUCACUACUGCUGUUCCUUGCUACUUUGCUGUUACUUGUUGCAAGAUCUUUUCCGACACCGUUGCCGGGAAAGAAUAGUUACUCGCCCACGUGCAACUUACUGGCGCCAUUGAUACAACAGUUAGGAAUAGUCUGCCGUCAACAGAUCUGUUUAUGGCACCGUUGCUAUGAUACUACUUUGCUACUGAUACUUUGCUUGCAGACACUAAUCUUUCAGGUGUGGUUGAAUCUGACAAACUCAGCUGCUAAUACUUGAGAAUAUUCUUUCGCUUCCCCUUGUGUGCGAAUCAACAAAUUUGGGUUGAAUACUCUACCCUCGAAAACUGUUGCGAUCCCCUACACUUGUGGGUUAUCAGUUCCCACCCACUUUUGGCCCAUGUAGCAGCUUGGGGCUGGUGACCCUUGCCGGUGGACCCCCGGAACCCUUCCGGUGGUCCUGGUACAUUACCGGUGUCACCCGAAACACUUCCGGUGACCAAAUCCUCACUUACUAUAUAUGAAUCUUUACCUCCGGACCAUUCUGAAACUCCUCAUGACGUUCAGGAUCUCAUUUGGGACUCCGAACAACCUUCGGUAACCACAUACACUAUUCCCCUAUAACCCUAGCAUCAUCGAACCUUAAGUGUGUAGACCCUACGGGUUCGGGAAGCAUGCAUACAUGACCGAGCCACCUCUCCGGUCAAUAAACAACAGCGGGGUAUGGAUAUACAUGUUGGUUCCCACAUGUUCCACAAUGAUCUCAUUGGAUGAACCACGAUGACGGGGAUUCGAUCAAUCCCGUAUGUAAUUCCCUUUGUCUACCGGUAUGAUACUUGCCCGAGAUUCGAUCGUCGGUAUCCCUAUACCUUGUUCAAUCUCAUUGUCGGCAAGUCUCUUUACUCGUUCCAUAACACAUCAUCCCAUGGCUAACUCCUUAGUCACAUUGAGCUCAGUAUGAUGAUGUAUUACCGAGUGGGCCCAGAGAUACCUCUUCGUCACACGGAGUGACAAAUCCCAGUCUCGAUUCGUACAACCCAACAGACACUUUCGGAGAUACCUGUAGUGCACCUUUAUAAUCACCCAAUUAUGUUGUGACGUUUGAUACACCCAAAGCACUCCUACGGUAUCCAGGAGUUGCACAAUCUCAUGGUCUAAGGAAAUGAUACUUGACAUUUGAAAAGCUUUAGCAGACGAACAACAUGAUCUAGUGCUAUGCUUAGGAUUGGGUCUUGUCCAUCACAUUUUCUCCAAUGAAGUGAUCCCGUUAUCAAUGGCAUCCAAUGUCCAUGAUCAGGAAACCAUGAUCAUCUCUUGAUCAACGAGCUAGCCAACUAGAGGCUCACUAGGGACACAUUGUGAUAUAUAUAUUCACACAUGUAUUACGGUUUCCGGUUAAUACAAUUAUAGUAUGAAUAAUAGACAAUUAUCAUGAACCAGGAAAUAUAACAAUAACCACUUUAUUAUUGCCUCUAGGGCAUAUUUCCAACACAUUAUUCGGUAUUAGUUAUAUUUAAUGUUUUCUUAUGAUGGUUUUUGUUCCUUGGUUGGGCGUUUCUCAAUUUAUUUUCUAGCCUUCACUUGUACUAAGAGGGAAUGUUGCUUCUGCAUCCAAAUCCUAAACCCAAAGGUGUUCCAAAUGAGUCCAUCAUACCUACCUAUAUGUGAUAUUUCAGUGUCAUUCCAAGUAAAUUUGUAUGUGCUAACUCUAAUGUUCAGAAUAAACUUUUGUUUUGUGUGCCUGUACCGCUCAUGAAGCGGCGAGGGGUGGCUCGUAUCUUCCAUGUUAAAUAGAAUAUUCUCAAAAUGAGUGUUUAUUCACUUGUCAUUGCACGAGAGUAUGGCGGUAAUAGGAUGCACAGUCCCGAUAUGCAAAGGAAAAUUAUUUUAUGUUGUCAAAUAAUAAAUUCAUUGGAAAGUGUUGGUAUGGAUGGUACCCGUGGAUGCGGCUAGCCAUGGAGUGUGAGAAUGGUGGAAAAGGAAUAAACUUUAUUUUCAGUUUGUGAACCGCCUAUGAUUUGUUUAGCAUGGAAGAUAUUGGUAACUCUUAGUAGUUUUCGUUCACAGGAAAAGCAUGCCACCCAAAAUAUUUUAGCCCUCAAUUUUUUCACUUUGAGCUCUCGCACCGCUACAAAUCUCUGCUUCCCUGUGCAAAGGGCCUAUCUAUUCACUUUUAUGCAAUUUUUAUUUUUAUUGAGUAUUCAUCUUCUCUUAUAAAUCACCAACCACAGAACACUGUUAUCAUACUUGAGCAUUGGAUGUAGCUAAUAUUUGAGUGUGUUGCAUGAAUGGAUCAAUGAUUGAGCAUGAUGGGCUAGGGAUAACUUUCUUUAGCGUUGAUAUUUUGAAAGACAUGGUUGCUUGUUGAUAUGCUUGAGUAUUGAAGUUUUCGUGUUGAAUUAUAGACUAUUGCUUUGAAUCAUCUACAUGUCAAUAUGUCCAUCCUAUAAAGAAGAGCAUAUGGUGAAUAUGAUAGGUAGCAUUCCAUGUCAAAAAUUCUGUUUCCAAUUGCUACUUUAUCAUGAUGAGUUUUAUGAAAAAGAGUUGUUGUUAUGAUGCUAGGAAAAGUGAUUGAAAUUAUCAUUGAUCAAAAUUAUGCACUAUGCUAGCAUUCACACUUCAUAAAUUAUUUCUUUUAUCAUUUACAUACUCGAGGAUGAGUAAGAAUUAAGCUUUGGGAUGUUGAUACGUCUCCAACGUAUCGAUAAUUUAUGAAGUAUUCUUGCCAUGUUUGCCUAUGUUUACAAUACUUUUAUAUGGUUUUGAUGCACUUUAUAUGAUUUAUUUAGAACUAACCCGGACUAACAUUGUUUUCACCAGAAUUACCAUGGUCUUGUUUUUUGCAAAAAUAAAAGUUCUCCAAAUGCAACUAAAUUUUUGACGAUUUUUUUGGAACAAAAGAGACACUAGAAGCUUUGUGGGAGGACCAGAAGGUGAUGGAGGUGUCCACUACCCACCAGGGUGCGCCACAAGCCUUGCUCGUGGGCUGGUGGGUAGUGGGCACCUCGUGGCCCAUCUUGGCGUGAUUCCAACGCCCAAAAAUCCUAUAAAUACAAAAACCUCCAGAAAUAACCCAAGAUCAGAAGUUCCACCGCCGCAAGCCUUUGUAGCCACAAAAAACCAAUCGGGAACCCGUUCCGGCACCCUGUCGGAGGGGGAGAUCAUCUCCGAUGCCAUCUUCAUCAUCCCAACGGAAGCCAUGACGAGGAGGGAGUAGUCCACUCUCAGGGUUGAGGGUUUGUACCAGUAGCUAUGUGCUUAAUCUCUCUCUCUCUCUCGUGUUCUUGAGAUGUCAUGAUCUUGAUAUAUCACGGGCCUUAUUAAUAUAGUUGGAUCAUAUGGUGUUUGUCACAUGCUAUUGUUGUGAUGAAUUGUGCCUUCACUUUAAGAUCUCGUUAUGUUAGGUUGAAUAUUCAGGUUUGAGAGCACAUGAUGUAUGUCUUGCAUGCAGAUACCCGUAGUGACAUUGGGGUAUUCAAGUGAUUCACUUGAUAUAUGUUGUGGCAUCAACUUGCGUAUUCCGGUGACCUUGGAGAUCUAUGUAUAGGGGUUGAUUGCAUGUUUCCAUACUAUGUUCUCCGGUAGAAAUCUUGGGGUGCUCCUUGAAGUUCUUUGUGUUGGAUUGAAUAUGAUGAAUCUGAAAUUGUUUGAUGCAAGUCCUAUAGUUAGCCCACGGAUAUUUAAGGUGACAUUAGAGUAUCUAGGUGACAUAGGGUUGAUCGAUAUGUAUCAAUGGUGUUAUUUUAGUAUGAACUCUUGGAUAGAUCGAUCAAAAAGGAUAACUUGUUAUUUUAGUAUGAACUCUUGGAAAGACUGAUCGGAAAGAAUAACUUUGAGGUGGUUUCGUACCCUACAAACAAUUUAUUCUUAUGUUCUCCGCCAAAUAGGAACUUUGGAGUGAUUCUUUAUCGCACGUUCAGGGAUUGUUAUGUGAUCCAAUUAUAUGCCAACAGUAACAUGUCACUCAUUUUUGGUGCCAAUUGAUGUUGUCGGGCAUUCUUCCGUCAUUUAAUUUAGCUGAUGUGGAUUAUGAUCGUGGCACACGUAAGCAAAUUGAAGAGUAUGGAACUCCAUAAAUUAGAGAUCAAAUGAGAAGGGCAUAUUUGUUGAAAGAUGUGGGGCGCUUGUAUGGUCAUUAUUUUCCUCGAACUCGUUUUGGGAAAGAUUGGCGGAACUUCAAAGAAGCAUAGUAUAAAGAUUAUGACUGGCUAGAGUAUAGUAAAGAGACAAAAUCUUCCUAUUGUUUCCAUUGUUUUAUUUUCAAGCCUCCAAGCAUUGGUGAGAAAUUUGGGCAUGAUGUCUUCACUAAGAAAGGGUUCAAAGAUUGGAAGAAGGUUGUGGAAAUAUUCAAUGCUCAUGUAAGUGGACCAAACAACGCUCACAACAAUGCUAGAAGUCGGUGUGAAGAUUUCAAAAACCAAAAACAAAGUAUGUCAUAUGCAAUCCGUUGUCAUGUUGAGAAAUCACAUAUUGAAUAUGAAGAGCGUUUGAGGGUUGUUGUAGGUGUGGUAAGGUUUCUUGUCUCUCAGGGUCUAGCUUUUCGUGGACACGAUGAGACUAUCACUUCCAUGAACAGGGGUAAUUUCCUUGAUAUGUUGGAUUGGUAUGCGAAAAGAUGCAAAUAUGUAGCUGAUGUGGUCCAUAAAAAUGCUCCUGGCAAUCAUCAAUUGACUUGUCAUAAAAUCCAAAAGCAUGUGUUCCAUUUUCAUGCCUUGAAGACCCGUCGAGGUCAUCUAUCUCCACAAGCUCGUGUUCAUUAUGCAAUUACAUCUUAAAGGUAUACUACCACCGAGUUACCAUCAUAUGACCAUAUCAAAAUAUACAACUCUCAUCACACUUGUGCUAUUGCAUUCAUAAUUUUGUAGGUCUCUUUUAGAAAUUGGAAUUGUGGGAUCAUAUUUUGGCACAAGUGAGCAUUUCAAGCGGUAAGAGUCCAUGUUAGCAGUUUACUAGUUUGUAAGAGCUUUUUAAUUCUUGUGUUGUUGAAUGCUAUGAGUUUUGAUUGAAUAGAGUUGCAUUUGUACCAAAAAAAUUAGACAUUAAAUAUUCACCCAGCUAACUUCAAUUCCUCGGUCUGCCACUACCAACAGACGCCAGACGUUACCUAGGGUGUAAUUUGGGAACCCAAGGGAAACCAGGAUUCCCCCAUCACUCGACCCCUAGGGCGAUUUCCAUAGAGUAUACUCUAGGGGAAAUGUUUCCCCAAGUGCUUUGGACCUUUUGCUAAGGGUAUCCGACCCUAGGGCUAUUUACAUAUUCUAGUAGUGACAGUCUAUCACCUUUAUCAUAAACCAUGGGGUGAGUUUCUAUCAAAUCUCGUGUUCAUUUUGAGUCGUAAAACAUCCUAUCACUUUGCGGGUGGACCAAGCAAAAAUAGUUAGAGUUUUAUUGGAGCAUUACUAUGUGUCCUAAUUAUUUAACUAUCACGCGCAAGAAAGAAAGAAAAUGAUUAUUGGUUUUGUCAGGCGGAGUGUGGUGUGUGGCUUACGGUAACACGUUUAAUUACAAUACUAUAUUUUCUAGCACUUUUAGCAUGAUUAAUAGGAUGGUUGUGUCGGACGAAGGAGUUUUAUGUGGCAUCUAGUAAUUGAUUAUAUUGCAUUGCUUUUUUACAUGCGCUUUUACUGUGUGCACAAUAAGGACAGUAAAACUGAGCCUAAACCGAGGUCUCUCAGCGAUUGGCGUUUUCGGCCGUUCAUUUUUGCGAUCUGGCCAUUUUUGGCUGUCAGAUUUCGUGUGGAACCAAUCAAUACCGCACUAUGUGAAAUCUAACCCAUCAGUCCUGUGGGCUGCUGCUCCAGAGGCCGAAACAGAGGCAUGUGGUAAACUGGGCCUUUUGUGGCAGCCCAAUCAACCCAUCCUAUCGGUUGUGCAUACAACCAAGAGCCCAGCCCACCUCGACUCUCCUCUCGCCUACGCAACCCCUUCUCCUCGUAGGGUUUCUCGAGCGGAGGGCAUCGCACCGCCGCCGACCAUCCUUCCUCUGUCCCCGCCGCGCUUUUCAUCAUACAGCGUAUCCGCUCACCAGUCCAGCUCUCCUUCAGCGCGACGUUGGAACCCAUCGUCCGCACCCUGACAACGAAGCCGGCGCCGGAUNCCGCUGCUUCACCCUUACCUCGACCUUGCAUCCGAACGCCGUCUCCCUACCUCGGUGAGCUUCUGUAUGCCUUCUGGAUUGUUGCUGGUAGGACUGAAUUGCUGCUGCGGUGAAUAUUUUGCAUGUAGAAUUUUUUGCUAAUUCUACAACUAUACUAAUUGGUAUUUGACUAUACAAUCUGCUAAUGUGUGGUAAUUGUAAUGUAAUAUUGUUGAUUUCAAUGUAUGCAUAAAUGGUGUCAAAGAUGCAUUUUUUUGUGAUUGUUAAUGUGUGUGGCGGCGAACAGCGUUAUGUCUUCCAGUAGCGGCUUUUGUCAAGAUGGUUGGUUGCUGAGAUGGUUUGUUGUGGGAAGGCAGUCGACGCCGGCGGCGGCCCAGAAGGUGACGUAGAGGAGCUUCAAGCUCGGGCUAUAGUUCCCCGCAGGCAGUAUCGCAAGAUUCCUCAAGGCUGACAAGUACACCGAGCGCGUCGAGCCGGCCCCCCCAUCUCCUCGCCGUCGUGCACGAGUACCUUGCCGCUGAGGUGCGUUGCUAUUGGAUCUCAUCCUUGCCCUUGUUCUUUGAGUCUAUUCCCCGACCUAGUUUGUUCUUGGGUUCCCAUUAAUCAUGCUAUUCUUAGAUUUGUUUUCGACCGUACCAUCGAUUAGUAGCAGUGCCUGAAUAUUUAUGCUAAUCUUGCCAUUCUUCCCCCAUUUAUGCAGGCCAUGGAGCUCGCCAGCAACGCUGCCAGGGACAACAAGAAGACCCGUAUUGUGUCCCGCCACAUCCAGCUUGACAUGCACAAUGAUGAGGAGCUAAUCAAGCUGCUCGGUGGUUUCACCUGUAGUUGCGCCACUCGCCGCCACCAUCUCUGGCAUGGAUAUCUUCCAGAGCCGCACCAUCCUUCGAGGUAAUGUCCCCUCGCCCUUGUCCUCCUCGUCAUCAUACUCCCAUAGGUGUGAGUGAUAGCAAUACCCACUUCUCCAUACUCCCCUCCACACAACACUGCCGGCUAAUACGUCCUCGGUCAAAUAACGAAUCAGGCACAAUUAGAACUAUGGACUUCAAUACCUUCCCUUUGGGUUAACUUUUUGGAGUUUGCACUAAAUUUGUUUGAUGAAAAUGCAAUGAUAGUGUUGUGCAGUAUGAUGUUAUCCCUCGUGAAUAACCAGUCCAUGUUAAUUCUCGCUGGUCAAAACCAAACUUCAACUUCUCAUGAUACCAUAUUUGCUUUAUUUGAUAUAAGACAUGAUAUAGGGGGUAGGCAACAUUGAUCCGAAGAACCAUGUCAGCCAUCUUGUCCUCAGGUGCUACAAUACUGAAAAAGAGGAUAUUAAUGAGAAUGACACUUCAUAGUUGAUUUGGUAACAUCAUAAACUUGUAUUGGUAUAUUCUCGUCAUCAUGUUAGUAGUCGGCAAUAAAUAACUGGUUUUGAUUCAUCCAUCUAGCUCGGCAUGAUGGUUAUCUGCUCGGUCUCCCUGAGUUUAACAUAAUAAAUCUCCAACUAUAAAUACAUGGUUUCAAUUCAUCCAUCUUGCUCGGCAUGAUGGUUAUCUCUCAAUCUUCCUGAAUUUAGCAUGACCAAUCUCCAAAAUAACUGGUUUUUAUUCAUCCAUCUAGCCCGGAUGAUGAUUAUAUGCUCAUUCUAUGUAGAAUUAGCAUGAUCAAUCUCCAAUUUGUGAGUAUUUUAACCCAAUUCAUUCUCUAAAUAUGGCACCUAUCUCAUGUUGGUUGUAGGGAACACAAGAAAGACAGGAGCUUGGAGCAAGUCCAUCCAUGUCGGUUCCUUUUCAUUUAUUUAUUUUGCAAAUUCCUUUUCAUUUAUUCAUGAGCGUACUUAUACUAUUGUUCCUGUCUAAAAUUCCUUUUCCGUUUGCAUGAUCUGAGACAUGAGGGAUUGCUACUCCGUAGGCAGUGGCAUACUCCGAGAUGACAACAUACCUGAAUGAGCUGAUGAGAGGUGAUGGGGAAACGCUAACGAUGGUUUCUUGGAAAUAUGUAGACCCAUAUAUAAUUUAUAUAGACCUAUAUGAUUUAUUAUUGGCACAGAUAGCAUACGCAUAUUAGCCUAUGACAUUGUUGCUGCAGAUUCCAGUGUUUGCAUUUUGCACCUUGAUUUCCUUUUCAUAUGGAUUUAGUAAGACCAUCACAUGGGUGGUUUUCAUUUGCCACCUUGAUUUCCUUGUAUGGUUUUAAUAAGACCAUGACAUGGGUUAAUUGCUCAGGAGUGUGCCAACAUCCAACAAGAUAUGGUGCUGCAAAAUGAAUGUGGGGUUUGCAACAUCCAGGUUGGUGUGGUGCAGUACCCUCUGCUAUUCAUAUCUUCUUUUUUUGUUGCAAUUCUGACGUCCUAAUUUUUUUUGCUUAGUUGUCAUAGAUUUCCGUUCACUUGGUCUCUAGAUAUCCAGAAAUCUGUGAUGAAACAUGUUGCUUGAAUGGUCAAUUCCAUCGUUGGCUAUCUUUUAGACUUCCUACACUUCUUGCAUUAUCUUCUUUAGAGAAAAUUUGUUAUAUGCUAGGAAAUAAGCUUAAAAUAUAAUUAAGAAAAUACUAAUAGUUAAUUAGUAUAACUAUGGGAACAUUCUUAGUCCAAUAGUAAUUAGUAUAACUAUGGCGCCACCUAGCUUGCUAUUUUUGACCUUCAAGCCAUCCAAUAGUCCUAUGUCGUUGCCCCAGUGCACUUGCUUCUUAUUGUAUUUUUCCUACCAUCCUAUCAAUUGUUUUGGACAAUGUCUCUAGAUGUGUGGUUCAUCUGCUUACUGCAUGAGACAUCUUUCCAUAUUUAUCCGAACCAUGUAAGUCACACCAAAGAUGUAUUCUCACAAAUCCAUCUUAAUCAGCACUGUCUAUCUGGCUCUAGCUUGUUGUCUAUGUCAGGUUAGACUUUAAUAUCCUCAAUGAUCGAAAACCCUUAGUUGAUUCAUUCAUGUUUGGUAUUAUUUAUUUAGUAGUAUGAAAUUUUGAUACAACUAAGCGUAUUUACAUAGUAUAUGUAUGGUCCUCGAGUGUUUGUACUAAAAUUCCCUAUGAAGAAGCUUCUCUGUAGUAUGUAGCUUUUCUUUUAUCAUUGUGUAUAUGCAGAUAUUGUUUUUUUCAACAAUGUGCGCUAGAUGAUGAUUAUGAGCAUUUCCUGUACAAGGUAUACUGUCGUGCCAAAGGUUGUACUCGUAGCAACAGCAUGAUGGUCUUUUUUCCCACCCCAAGUAUGUGAUGAUUCAUGAUUGGUCCGUCUUCUUGCCUGUCACUUCCGAACGGGGUGGUGGAUUCUUGUUUCUUUUGAGCUGUUGUCUGCAUUGUUACCUCAAUUGUUAGCAAGCUAACGGAGGAAUUUCCUGGAAUCCGCUGGUACCUGUGCUUACAGGGUUUCCAUGCAUACUGUAAAGUUGAAGAAGGUAGAGAUAGUAUCUACUUCCGACCAUCUCCUUUCAACCUCAAAUUGAUGAGUGUGUUCUUAUUUCAUUGUUACUUGGUAUGUUUGUUGAAUAUCAAUGCAUUUUGUUCUCAGAAGCAAACUUGACCUCUUUCAGGGAGUGUGCAACAGAGGACCUGUUUCUAGAGGGAAGUAUCAUGUAUGCAAAGCCAGUAGAGUAUGAACAUUUACUUGCAUCCUCACAGUAACUAUGUUUAUUUUUUAUUCAUCCCUAUAACCGGGUGCAAAACUGCAAGUAUGCCAGCUGCCUGUCAAUGUUUAAGGUUAUUGCUGCCAUUCAUUUACUGAGUGAAAGAUUUGUUGCUUCGUCGUUUAAAAAGAAGACCGAAUUUUUUCAUGAAGCAGUUUAUUUGAGUCCAUAUAUCCUUUUCCAAUAGGUAUAUUGUCUACUAAGUAUUUAUAGAAAUUCAUAUCUGGGAGAAAAGAAAAUCACAAUAGAUGGACGCGGCAACGCGCGCCAUCGAUGAUCUAGUGAAAAACUAUCUGUGGAAACAAAAGUUUUGAUAGGAAUUAGUGAAAACCAAAUGAAAUCUAUGUUUCAAGUGUUCCAAAAAUUCUAAAAAAAAAUAUAGAGGUUAUAUUCUACAAACAUGUCGAAUUUUGAUUUUGCUAAACAUUGUGUGCCUGAUAUUAUUUUUGUCAAGUCGGUCAAUUCCGCAUGGCAUAAGGCCGAAGGCGGCGGCGACGUGAGAAGCUGCACCGACAAGCAUCAACCACGCCGAGGCCAAGUCACGCAAGGACAAACUUGAGAGGGGGUGAUGGUGUGGGGUUCGGCGGGGUUCUGCAGAUGAGGGUUAGAGAGAUCACCGGAGCGGUGGCCAGCAACGAUGGUGAGAGGGGUUGAGUAAGAGCAUUUCCAGCCGUUAGGCGCCCCCAGGGGCCGAAAUAGCGCCGACCGGGGCCAACUGACGAAAAAACAGCUUGGGGGCGCAGGUGGCUUGGGUUCCCACCCGCGCCCCACCCCAGCCGGCCAGUGUGGAGAGAGAUAGAGAGAGAGAAAAGAUUCCUUGUUUGCAUACACACCGAUGAGGUUUGCACAUAUAAAAAUAACGCCGAAUGCUCCAAAGGGGCUGGGUGUGGUCUAUAGUCGUCGGGGCUAGUUUUGAUCAAAUCCGACGCAAAACAACGUCUCGAGAACGUGACUGAAUGAUUUUUUUAAGCCGACGAUUAAAAAGACGCUUAAAAGGACGAGGCGGUGCAUUGUACAGGCGAUAGGUGCGGCGUAGGCUGGGGCAAGUUGCCUGAGGCUGGAUCAUGCGUUGAGAAAAACAAUGGGGAGAGGAAGAUGACCUUCAAACGAGAUCUAACAGAUUAAAUGGGACUGAUGCGAAAAGUUUUUUCAGACUCCUGAAGAAUAGACACUCGCAUAUAAUUUUAGUUUCAAAUUAAAAUCCACUUGGGAGCCAUCAAAAAAAUAGCAACCAAAAACGAACACGUGAAAAUAAGAAGAAAUCAGUGUUGAAUUUGUCUUUUUUCAUAGUUCCAAGUGAAACUGAUUUUGAAUUUAUUAUUCUGUACAUGCUCUGGAACAUCUGAAGCAAGUGACACUAUAUAUAUUCAAAUACUAAAAACAUUGAUUUUGGACUGGUUUUCACAGGAUAUUCUCGUAUAUAUAGUCUAGUAAAGUUUCAAGAACACUGGUGCAAGCUCCAUAUCGGACAUGCUUGGGAUGCAAAGCAAAAGGUAACACUUUUCCCCUAAUAUAUAACCCUAGAAAAGUAAGCAGAUGGCACUGGCACGGUGGCACCCUUAACCUAAUAGUCGCCGUCGUAGAGCCUCCGGCCGACCUCGAACGACGCGAAUGCGUCGGCGCAUGCAUACUGCAGCUGCUCCCGCGUCAGCCACGGCGCGUCCCAGGCGCUGACCCGCACGUGGUACGGCUUCUCGGGCCAGACGCCCAUCACCUGCCACACGAGCCCCUGCAGCCCGGUGCGGCACAGCGCCGGCUUCCCCAGCGCGCUGGCGGCGAGGUGGCGCAGGUCCACCGUGUUGGCCACCUGCAGCCCGUAGUGGGCGCUGAGCUUCUGCGCGUCGCCGAAGACCCCGACGCCGACGAAGGUGAAGCGGGCGUCGGCGAGGAAGUGGAAGAGGGAGUCCGGGACGUAGUCGGCGCGGAAGAUCUGGAAGACGAGGCAACGGCGGCCGACGCAGAGCUGCAGCAGCGCGACGGGGCCCGGCGGGAGGCCGCGGAGCGAGGGGCGCCACUCGACGUCGAGGCCGACGACGAGGCGGUCGAGGCGGCGGCGGUGGAUGUGGUAGACGAGGCCCAGCCACUCGUCGACGACGUCGCCGGAGGAGGUCAGGGUGGUGUGGACGUGGUCCUGGCCGAACGCCACGAUGCAGUGGCCGUCGCCGAAGUCCGUCACCAUGGAAGUCGCCAUCUCGUAACUCCCGUCCCGAGGUUUCGAAGUUCGAACCGCUGUUUUGGUAUAUAUCAGAAAUCCAGAGUAGAUUUGUCCCGCUGGUAUAUCUAUCAGGUCUCCGUGUGUAUAUUUGUACCGGAACGACAGUGCGUCUGUUUUUGUUUUGUUUUUUCCUCUCUUUUUUUUUUGAGUGAAACGACGGUGCGGCUGUUUUUUUUAUGACGGAAACGUCCGUGCGUCGUUGCCAGGGUGGAUAUGCACUGAUCGCAUGACAAACGACCUCGCGGAUCACAUUGGCGGCCCACGUCGUGCUUUGUCGAUGGAAAAGCCCAAAUCCAGGGCUUUUUUGUGUGUGCGUUACAAAUCCAGGGCUUCAUUGGCACAGUACGGCGCGAAUAGUGGCUUGGAGAGCUCGUCGACGGCGUGCACCACGAACCCCGAUCAUCACAGCGCCUCCGUGCUCUCCGCAGCGCGCAUCCUCUUGGCCACCGAGCCAUCCUGCAGAUCGUCCGUCUCAGAUGCAGCAGCAUCCGUUGGUCAGCUUGUGAAACAAAUCGAUUCCCUUAAUUUAACAUAGGGGCUUCUCUUUAAUUUGUUUGUUUCCAACAUGCCCCUCGAGGACCAGCAGCAGGAGCAUAUUCUGGCAUUAUUUCGGAGCUUGGAAUUUGGGUUUCUGAGAAUUCGGGGUUUGAACUUUGAAGGGCUCCCAGACAUUAUCAUUGUUGGACAACGCUAGGGAGCGGCGCCGCACCUCCGUCUUGCCGUGCGGCGGCUCACUUAAUUACAUUCCAAUGCAAAAAAUUAACCUUCUGUUAAUCACCCAUUACAUAUCUCUCUCAUGCAUGCAUGCGUGCAAUGAUAUAAUUAUGUAUAAUGAAAACUGCUACAUGCAUGCAAUGAUGUCACCAAGAUUCCUUUUAAUUUGAAAUUUAAAAAGUUUUAUUUACAAAAUCGUUAAUUCAAUCGAUGAUCCGCUUUCACCAUUGACUUUCUCUCGACGAGUUUUUCGAAACUAGAUCCCAUGUCGACAUGUUCCGUCAACUAUUUUUUUCAUCCAUACUUGCUACAUUUUUUGACCCCACUUGCCAUAUUAUUAACCACUUACUUGCCUGAAAAAAUAACUUAAUUGACACUUUUAAUGUUUUUUCGUACAAAACCAUGUAACAGUUUUCAUUAUACAUCAUAUAAAAGCAUUGUCAUAGGUUCUGUUUGUCAAUUUAAAUAUGCAAACUUGUCAUAUUUACAUACAACUUUGCCAAAAAAAAAUAUUUUGUGUGUUUGUUAGUUUAACUAUGUCGAGUUAUCAUAUUUAUAAACGAUGAUAAAAAAAAAAUUGUGGUCACCGAUUUUAAAUAUGUUGAGUUGUCAUAUUUUUGCGCGUAAUCGCCUAAAAAUAAUUGUUUGUGCUUGCCAUUUUGAUUAUGUCUAGAUGUCAUAUUUAUACGCAGUUUUCAAAAAAAUUGGCGAUUAAGUUAUUUUUUAUCAGACAAGUAAGUACUUACUAAUAUGACAAGUAAGUACAACAAAUGUGGUAAGUACGAGCAAAAGAAAAAAUUGUCAAAACAUGUCGACAUGGGAUCUAGUUUUGAAGAUUUCAUCGAAACAAAGUCAACGGUGAAAACGAAUCAUCGAUCGAAUUAACGGUUUAAGAGAUAAAAGUUUUUGAAUUCCGAUCAUUUAAAACGAAUCUCAUGACAUCAUUGCAUGCAUGCAUGCAUGAGAAGAAAAAAUGCAAGCCGCUGCACGGAAUGUCCAUCAUGCGGCGGUUCUAAAUAGAAUUUCCCAUCAUUGUUUCCUGUCAUUUUGUUGCCCGCUAGUGCAGGUUAGAGAACUAGAAACAGAAAGCAACUUCUCUUAGAGCAUGAUUAAUAGUAUAGCCAACUGCUGGCUACAAGUCAUCUUAUAGCCCAUCUUAUAGCUAGCUUGUAUAAUAGUUAGCUAUAAAAGAGUAUUAUUUUUAUCAUAUAUGGCCCACCUUUCAUUCUCACAAAUCAUCUAGGAGCACGUGCUAGAGCUAGUUUUUUACGAAGAGCCCGCUUCUCUUCUCUUUUCUCUUCUCUCUCAUCCAACUGAGCAAAAAUAUAAUAUUUUAAUCCUUACAGGCUGCUGACCUUAUUGUACUUGCUCUUAUUCUCUUACUUCAGAUGCCACCAGGGAGAUGAAACGGUGUCUUCUGCCUUUGGGACACAAUGUAACAGGGAUGUGUGUUAGGCCACAGGUUGCAUAGGCUAUUAUCGCAUGCGCUCUGUAUAGCCAGCAUGCGAUAUAGCACCGAUCGUGGCCCAGGUUGUGGAGUAGUGGAGACUAGAGUAGUGCCUGGACCUAGGCUAGUGGAGGCAAGUAGUGGCGCAUGCAUGAUCAGCUCCUAGCUCAUCAACUUUAUAUAUACACCCAUCCUAGAGCUUAAUCAAAUGCGUUGAAUCUAAUCCUCUCUCUCUCACUAAACAUGGUGAUGGGGUCAUAGUCCUAGGGUAGGCUCAUAGGCCUGUCAUGUAGGUCCUACCCAAGGACUACCCCUCACAAAGGACAAGGCCCUUAGUGAGUUCCGACUGAAUUAAGGAGUCCCCGUCAUCCAGUCGGUAACAGGUCCUCGACCAUCCAGUCGGAGACUAGCAUUCGGAGGAUAUCAAGCUAACCGACUAGCUACCACUCGGUACAUCGUAACCUCUCUGGAGGAAAACGGUCGUACGUUUCCAGGUGCAUUUAUUAGCAUUUAGGGCAUACGUUACAGGUAACGUAUGCAUUCAAUCGCCACUACUCCACCCCUGUACCGGAACCGUUGUGGAGGGUAGCGCACUCUUUAUAAGCCACCCUCCCCCGCUGGUAGAGGGGUUGGCAACUCAUUGUAUUCCAUAUUUCCACUCGACAACAAGCUCCCUGAGCACUGAGACGUAGGGCUAUUACCUCCACCGCAGAGGGCCCUGAACUCAUACAACCUCGUCGUAGCUAAGGCUCUGCCCAUCCUUUUCGUAUCCUACACAUCUACUGUCAGGCUUAUACCCACGACAGUUGGCGCCCACCGUGACAAGUCGCUCCGAAUGUGCAUCGACUUCAAGCAUCUCAAUAAGGUCUGCCCGAAAGACCAUUUCCCGCUCCCCCGCAUAGAUCAAAUUGUCGAUUCGACUGCGGGUUGCGAGCGUCUGUCAUUUCUUGAUGCCUACUCGGGCUAUCAUCAGAUCCGUCUGUAUGGUCCCGAUGAGUUAAAAACAGCCUUCAUCACCCCAUUUGGGUGCUUCUGCUACAUCACUAUGCCAUUCGGUUUGAAGAAUGCAGGAGCUACCUUUAUGCGCAUGAUCCAAAAAUGUCUCCUCGACCAGAUCGGUCAGAAUGUGGAGGCGUAUAUGGAUGAUAUCGUAGUCAAGUCACGCAAAGGUUCCGACCUGCUGACUGACUUGGCAGAAACAUUCGCCAACCUUCGUAGGUACGAUAUCAAGCUCAACCCCGCCAAAUGUUCAUUUGGCGUUCCCAGCGGAAAGUUACUCGGUUUCUUCGUUUCCGAACGAGGGAUCGAUGUCAACCCCGAAAAGAUCGGGACCAUCGUCCGAAUGGAGAGGCCGGUCAGAAUACACGACGUUCAACGGCUCACAGGUUGCCUAGCGGCUUUGAGCAGGUUCAUCAGUCGACUCGGCGAGAAAGCGCUUCCUCUGUACCGACUCAUGAAGAAAUCAGAUACCUUCGAGUGGACAGACGAAACCCAAGUCGCAUUCGACGACCUCAAAGUCCUACUUUCCACCCAGCCGGUUCUUACUGCUCCGCUCAGUAAAGAGCCCCUUCUUCUGUAUAUCGCGGCUACAAAUCAAGUCGUCAGUACUGUUCUUACAGUCGAACGAGAAGAAGAAGGCAAAGCAUACAAAGUUCAGCGGCCAGUGUACUACGUCUCCGAGGUCCUGACUCCUUCCAAGCAGAGGUAUCCCCACUAUCAAAAACUUAUCUACAGGAUUUACAUGACUGCGAAGAAGGUGGCCCAUUAUUUCCAAGACCACUCGGUGUCUGUCGUUUCUGAUGCUCCAUUGUCGGAAAUUCUCCACAAUCGAGACGCGUCAGGCCGAGUGGCGAAGUGGGCGAUGGAGAUGUUGUACUGUCAUAUCAAGUUCGAUGCCAAGAAAGCUAUUAAGUCUCAAGCCCUGGCUGACUUCAUAGCAGAAUGGGUAGAACAACAGCAACCGACCCACAUCUACUCGGCCCAUUGGACAAUGUUCUUCGAUGGGUCCAAGAUGUUGAAUGGCUCUGGCGCUGGCGUUGUGAUCAUAUCGCCAAAGGGUGACAAGCUCAAGUACGUGCUACAAAUACACUUCGAUUCCUCCAAUAACGAGGCAGAGUAUGAAGCUCUCCUCUACGGGUUGCGUAUGGCCAUCUCAUUCGACGUCCGUCGCCUGAUGGUCUACGACGAUUCGGAUUUGAUGGUCAAUCAAGUGAUGAAAGAGUGGGACGUCAGGAACCCCACCAUGACUACAUACUGCAAUGCAGUGAGGAAGCUUGAGAAUAAGUUUGAAGGUCUAGAACUUCACCAUGUUCCGAGACUGAAGAACCAAGCAGCGGAUGAGUUGGCAAAACUCGGAUCCACUCGGAGACCAGUCCCGAGUGACGUCUGCCUCGAGCACCUCCACCUUCCCUCAGUCAAAGAAGAUCCUUUUACAGAGGAGCCGGUACAACCGAAGAGUUCAACGGAUCCGACUGAAGUCGAUGUACCUGCUGUGGUUGAUCUGGUCAUGGAGAUUCUUUCUGUCGUCCCCGAUUGGACUGUGCCGAUCAUUGCAUAUAUCCUCAGGCAGGAACUACCAGAGGACGAAGUCCAGGCCAGGCAGAUAGUCCGUAGGUCGAAGUCAUUCACUAUCAUUGAUGGCCAACUGUACAAAGAAAGUAUCUCAGGCGUUCUUCAACGAUGCAUCUCCCCAGAGGAGGGGCAGCUGAUUCUGGAGGAUAUUCACUCGGGGACCUGCGGUCAUCAUGCUUCUUCGAGAGCAAUCGUCACCAAGGCAUUCAGGGCUGGUUUCUUCUGGCUGCAGGCUAACGAGAUGGCUAAAGAUAUGGUUGACCGAUGCGAGGGCUGCUAGUUCUACUCCAACAAAUCCCACAAGCCGACUUCUGCGUUGAAGACGAUCCCUCUUGUGUGGCCGUUUGCAGUGUGGGGAUUAGAUACAGUCGGCCAUUCAAGACAGGCCAAGGUGGAUACACACAUCUGUUGGUGGCAGUCGACAAGUUCACGAAAUGGAUCGAAGCCAAGCCCAUCAAGAAGCUCGACGCCUCAACAGCCGUCAAGUUUGUCAGGGACAUCAUCUUCAGAUUCGGUGUACCUCACAGCAUAAUCACGGACAACGCGACAAACUUUGAUUCGGACAGAUUCAAAGGAUUAUGUACAAGCCAAGGUAUCUGAGUGGACUUUGCUUCCGUGGUGCACCCGCAGUCCAAUGGACAAGCAGAGCGGGCGAACGGACUUAUUUUGCAAGGUUUGAAACCCCGACUCCUGCGAGAGAUAGGACAUGCCGCUGGCGCUUGGGUUACCGAGCUACCUUUAGUGCUUUGGGGACUUCGCAGAACCCCGAACAGAUCUACAGGGCGAUCACCGUUCUUCCUCGUUUAUGGAGCAGAAGCGGUCCUUCCAAGUGACUUGCUUCACAAUGCGCCACGAGUCGAACUCUUCUCCAAAGCUGAAGCAGAACAAGCAAGGCAAGACGGAGUGGAUCUUUUAGAGGAGGAGCGCGAGAUGGCACUGACUCGCUCAACCAUUUAUCAACAAGAUCUGUGGCGUUUUCACGUGCGACACGUCAGGAGUCGUACGUUCCAAGCAGGCGACCUGGUGCUCCGAGUAGAUCAGCAAAGACCUCACAAGUUGGCUCCUGCCUAGGAAGGACCCUUCAUCAUCUCCAAGGUGCUGAACAAUGGGGCAUACAGACUCUACAACGUCGACAGGGAGACAGACGAGCCGCGAGCAUGGAACGGAGAUCUCCUGAAGCGCUUCUACACGUGACCAUCGACUGAAGCAAUGUAAAGAACAAGUAUUGGUGAAAUAAUAUAAAGCAGGUUGAGUUUUUUGCAGGUUCAAAGUUCUUUCGCGGUCGCAGACUCCGGUCUCAAAAAAAAAAACUUAGCUGCGAUCCAGAAUCGCCUAAGUAUUAACCUUCUCCGAGUGUGCACUUCACGUCACACUCGGGGGCUUAGCUGCGAUCCAGAAUCACCUAAGUAUUAACCUUCUCCGAGUGUGCACUUCACGUCACACUCGGGGGACUUAGCUGCGAUCCAGAAUCGCCUAAGUAUUAACCUUCUCCGAGUGUGCACUUCACGUCACACUCGGAGGCUUAGCUGCGAUCCAGAAUCGUCUAAGUAUUAACUUUCUCCGAGUGUGCACUUAACGUCACACUCGGGGGACUUAGCUGCGAUCCAGAAUCGCCUAAGUAUUAACUUUCUCCGAGUGUGCACUUAACGUCACACUCGGGGACUUAGCUCCGAUCCAGAAUCGCCUAAGUAUUAACCUUCUCCGAGUGUACACUUAACGUCACACUGGGGACUUAGAGAAUUCCACGGACCCUCAAUGAGGCUCAUGCAGAUGUCAAAACAACUGACAUGUUCCGAAUGUUUGCCUUUGGCUUCACCAAGAAACGCCAAACAAAAACUCGAGUCAACAUUGCAACAGAAGAGCAAAAGAUUCGAUUCAAACUUCAACCAAAGAUAGUGGCUCGGUGUGGAUCAAGCUUACCCACACCGACACAAGAAUGUGACGGCCAACAGCAGUGGCCAAAGUUUCUUACAGAUAAACACUCGGAGGAUAAAAGUGUUCUUACGCAUCAUCUGGAUUAACACCAGGACUGGAGGGCUCUACGAACGUGUCCAGAUCAAUACCGUCAGCGAUGCGGGUGGCACUUUCAAGGAAGGUUUCCAUGAAGUCUUCGAAUCGAAGUUUCUUCGUGUUGGCGACCUUCAACGUCUUCAGUUUCUCCUCGCGCACCUCCUUGCAAUGGACUCGGACCAGGGACAGAGCAACAUCUGCACCACAACGAGCUGCAGAUUUCUUCCACGACUGCACUCGGUUCGGAAUCUCCUCCAGUCGGGUCAUCAGGUUCUCCAUCUCCUGCCGCGACUCAUAUUCUGGCCAAAGCUCCUUGUCGAUUCGGCCGACGACUUCUCUCAGUCGACCGAUGAAAGGACCAACUUUGCCCACGCGGAUGUGCGCACGGAGCAGAUCCUGAUUGGCGUCCUCGCCGAGUGGAACGUUCUCGAGAAUCGACCCCUCCACAUCAGCUGCUUCAGCUUCAGCGUCAAAGCAAAAGUCUGCGACAACAGGACAAGCAGACAAUAAGCGCCGAGUGUGACGCGCAUAACACAACCACUCGGAAAGAGCAGGACUUACCAGCCAGACGCGUCAUCAUCUGCCGAGCCCAGUCGCUGACGUAUUUCUCCUGUGCUCUGCACCGUUUGUUCAGCACGUCCAUUUGUCCCAUCAGAGCAGUCCUUUGUUUCCCCAUCUUUUCAACUUCCUCAGUCAACACCCUGUUCGCUUCGCGAGCCUACUCCAAUGACUUCUCUCGUCCCGCCAGAGCAUCCUUCAUGCCAGCCAUUGCAAGCAGCGCCGCAUCAAGCUCACCAGCUAACUGAUUCUUCUCCGCCCUGAGAGUCUCAUAGGUUGUUCCCAUUUCACAAGUUUUCUGCCAGCAAACACCAAGAGACAAUCAGAAAAUUAACAAUAAAAGUCUAAGUUCUUCAGACCCCUGCCGACGCAAGCAGUCGACAGCGGUCUCGGGGACUACACCCAGUGGGUUCACUAAGAGUGACCCCACUGGCACGCAACUCAAGCAGGCCCGCCCUAUUGAGAUGCAUGUUACCACCUACGCCUAUGAGGCCAAGACUACCCGACCUGAGUACAAAUUACUCUCGGGGACUCUUACAGUAAGUGCACUCCGAGUGCCACAACUGCUCACAGUCGGACAUAUUAUUUACAGAUCCGAUCAAAGCAAAGACAAUAUGUAUAAAGACAACUACCGGUGCAAGCACUCGACAGAAGUCUCGGGGACUACACCCACUGGGUUCACUCAGAGUGAACCCAUUGCAAACAACAGAUACUAUCCAAAAACACCGAGUGGGUUACAAGAGAAAAGUAAAUACUUACUAGCCCACUUACUCGGAUAUCAUUCCGCAGCUCCAAGCUCCGCUGAUACAAGGAUGCGACGGAGUCGUAGGCCCUCUUGGCUUCUCCAGCCAUCAGCUCCGCCUGCACCAUGGCUCCCUUGGCCGGUCCCACCUGCUCCUCCGGGAGACGCUGGAUGUUGAACUCGACAUUCGACGAGCCUGGCAUCGUCGAAAGUUCCUGAGGCAUCCCAAGGUCCGCUCCGGUCGACUCUUCAACCACCAGUGCCAGUUCAGUCGGCGGCAGCGCCUCAGUCGGCAGCACGUCGGCAGCGAGAGUAGCAACAGGCGGAGCAGCCUCAAGAACAGGCUUUGCAGCUUGUUCAGCUCUCCCCUGAUCACCCUCGUCCACGCAAAUCGCCCCUGAUAGACCGAACGACGCGAGAUCUCAGAAAAAGAAAGAGGCAGAACCUAUGAUAGAAUUCGAGACGCGGUAGAAUAAAACACUCGAAGUCACUACAACGCACCUGGCUGGGACGAGAUGACGUUGUCCGUGUCCAUGGGGUCAUCCUCCUGGCACGCCGGAGAGGUGGCAUAAGUAGCGACUCUGUCGAGUGAAAUCCAUUCGACCAAUGAACAGGAAUUCACUCGGAUAUCAGAAGAAAUUAGAAGAUCGAUACACUUACGUGGAGGUGACGGGGACAGCAACCCUCAUCCGCGGCAGAGCCUUCUGAGGUUUGGACCCACUCGGUUUGGCCGCCUUGGAAGACUGACCCGCAGGUUCAGCAGCAGCAUCCCUGGCCCUCUUGGUGCUCCGAGCACUCGGGACCACCGGGGCAGUGGGCGGAGCACUCGAAGAUGCUAGAGGGACCGAGGGAACGGCAGGCUCGUGUCGGUGCUUGGUCCGAUGCUCUGUUUGCGGAGGCGGCGAGUCCUGCUCUUCGCCUUCCUCCUCUUCCUCGCUAGUCUCUUCCUCCAACUCCCCGCUGUCGGAGACAUACUCAGCGCUCUCCACGCUGCCUUCCUGGCUGCCUUCCUCCUCCUCGGCCGGGUUCCCGUUCGAGACGGGAGAAAACCAGUUGCUCCACUCCUGCAUAAAAUUCAGUCGGCGACAUCAGACGUCACACAGAGAUUCAAGCAAACAAUAAGAUUAAGACAGUUAGGAGCACUCGACAAGUGCCACUUACCUGAUUCGGAGGAGGAUUAUCCGCGCAGAAAGGCUUCACUCGCCGAGAUCCUUUGGGAUUCUCGCAGGGGCCUGUGAUCUGGAGCACCCACGAGGUCACCUUCUCCUCAGUCACGCCCACAACGUUGGUCCGAGUGGAAUCCUCGGGCCCCGUAUAAUGCCACAUGGCGUGGUCGCGAGCCUGCAGGGGUUGGAUACGCCGACCGAGGAAGACCUCCAGCAAGUCUAUGCCAGUGACCCCCCUCCUGACGACAUCUACAAGCGCUCCGACCAGAGGCUGGAUGUCAUUCUUCUCCGCCCUCGUGAGCACGAGCUGCUUAGGUGGGGCUGGCCGAUCUAAGCUAAAGGGAGGCAGCCCUGUCGAAGCAUUCGGACAGGCGAUAUCCUGGCAGUAGAACCACGUCGACUGCCAGUUCCUGACCGACUCACUUAACUGGAGGGCAGGAUAACUGCUCCGACUCUUUUUCUGGAAACCUAAGCCCCCGCAGAGCUGGAGAAGAUGUGUUUUAUCAUCCGACUGGCUGAGUCGUUUGAUGGUUUGAGAUCUAGCAGAAAAAUAUGUGCUUGAACAGCCCCCAAUGGGGAGGACAGCCAAUGAAACACUCGCACAGAACUAUAAAAGCAGAGAGAUGGGCAAUGGCAUUCGGGGGAAAGUGGUCAAGUUGUGCCCCGAAGUGAUUCAUGAUGCCCUUGAAGAAAGGAUGCGGGGGCAAGGAGAAACCUCGAUAGACGUGGCUGAGCAACAAGACGAGCUCCCCCGUCCCGGGGCGCCGGCUCGACCUCGUUCUCCGCCGGCAGCCUCUAAGACUUGUGCACGAUCAUCCCGUGCUCAACCAGCUGCAGCAGAUCCCCCUCCGUCACCGUGGAGGGGAGGAAGUCGCCUUGAAUCCACCCCGCCGGCAGCGUCCGCUGCCGCCGCUGAGCAGGAGCCGCCCCCUUCCCCUUCUUCUUCCUCGCCUCCAUCUUGCUGGUCUGACCCUUGGUCAUGGCGGAAACUGCGAACCCGCGGGAGGAAGGAGGAGGGAGGAGUGUAGAGGCGCUGGAGGUGGUGAGAGAGACGGAGCAGGCAAAGGCAAGAGAUUCGGCGAGCGUAACGAAGAACCCUCGUCGCCGAGAUUUAAGUAGGGUUCCGACUGGGUCGCUGGCAGGUAGGCCCGAAACCUUAUCCCCCGACCCACCGUGGCGAUAUUAGUGGAGAGGUUGAAGGCGCGAGAAUCGAGGCGUCAGGCGCUACUCGAGCGCGAUGGCGUCAUCCCCGCUGAGCGUGCGGAACCCGAAAUUUGAGAUCCCGGAAAAUCCGCCGCUGUCAGUUGACCGGUCGCGUCAAAAGAUGCCGCAGAAGCACUCGGCUUCCGACAGUCUGUUUCGCGAGUACUUCCACUCGGAUCGUUGGUCAGAAAAGAUAAAAUGGAUCGAGGCAAGCAACGCCCAAGCCAAAUCUGUUCUAGUCGGAUCCAAACUUCAAGCACCGCUUCAUCGUUUCAACCCCAAUCCAUUCGGGGACUAAUGAUGGGGUCAUAGUCCUAGGGUAGGGUCAUAGUCCUAGGGUAGGGUCAUAGGCCUGUCAUGUAGGUGUUGGGCAACGUCGCAUGGGAAACAAAAAAUUUCCUACGCGCACGAAGACCUAUCAUGGUGAUGUCCAUCUACGAGAGGGGAUGAGUGAUCUACGUACCCUUGUAGACCGUACAGCAGAAGCGUUAGUGAACGCGGUUGAUGUAGUGGAACGUCCUCACGUCCCUUGAUCCGCCCCGCGAACUAUCCCGCGAUCAGUCCCACGAUCUAGUGUCGAACGGACGGCACCUCCGCGUUCAGCACACGUACAGCUCGACGAUGAUCUCGGCCUUCUUGAUCCAGCAAGAGAGACGGAGAGGUAGAAGAGUUCUCCGGCAGCGUGACGGCGCUCCGGAGGUUGGUGAUGAUCUCGUCUCAGCAGGGCUCCGCCCAAGCUCCGCAGAAACGCGAUCUAGAGAAAAAACCGUGGAGGUAUGUGGUCGGGCUGCCCUGGAAAAGUCGUCUCAAAUCAGCCCUAAAACCUCCGUAUAUAUAGGUGGGAGAGGGGGGACCUUGCCUUGGGGCUCAAGGAGCCCCAAGGGGGUCGGCCGAGCCAAAGGGGGGAAGGUCUCCCCCCCCCCAAACCGAGUCCUACUUGGUUUGGUGGGUGGAGUCCUUCUUUCCUUUCCCACCUCCUCCUUUUUUUUCUUUUCUCUUUGAUUUUUCUUCCAAUGCGCAUAGGGCCCUUUUGGGCUGUCCCACCAGCCCACUAAGGGCUGGUGCGCCACCCUCAAGGCCUAYGGGCUUCCCCGGGGUGGGUUGCCCCCCCCCCCCGGUCGAACUCCCGGAACCCAUUCGUCAUUCCCGGUAACUCCGAAAACCUUCCGGUAAUCAAAUGAGGUCAUCCUAUAUAUCAAUCUUCGUUUCCGGACCAUUCCGGAAACCCUCGUGACGUCCGUGAUCUCAUCUGGGACUCCGAACAACAUUCGGUAACCAACCAUAUAACUCAAAUACGCAUAAAACAACGUCGAACCUUAAGUGUGCAGACCCUGCGGGUUCGAGAACUAUGUAGACAUGACCCGAGAGACUCCUCGGUCAAUAUCCAAUAGCGGGACCUGGAUGCCCAUAUUGGAUCCUACAUAUUCUACGAAGAUCUUAUUGUUUGAACCUCAGUGCCAAGGAUUCAUAUAAUCCCGUAUGUCAUUCCCUUUGUCCUUCGGUAUGUUACUUGCCCGAGAUUCGAUCGUCAGUAUCCGCAUACCUAUUUCAAUCUCGUUUACUGGCAAGUAUCUUUACUCGUUCCGUAAUACAAGAUCCCGCAACUUACACUAAGUUACAUUGCUUGCAAGGCUUGUGUGUGAUGUUGUAUUACCGAGUGGGCCCCGAGAUACCUCUCCGUCAAACGGAGUGACAAAUCCCAGUCUUGAUCCAUACUAACUCAACGAACACCUUCGAAGAUACCUGUAGAGCAUCUUUAUAGUCUCCCAGUUACGUUGCGACGUUUGAUACACACAAAGUAUUCCUCCGGUGUUAGUGAGUUAUAUGAUCUCAUGGUCAUAGGAACAAAUACUUGACACGCAGAAAACAGUAGCAACAAAAUGACACGAUCAACAUGCUACGUCUAUUAGUUUGAGUCUAGUCCAUCACGUGAUUCUCCUAAUGACGUGAUCCAGUUAUCAAGCAACAACACCUUGUUCAUAAUCAGAAGACACUGACUAUCUUUGAUCAACUGGCUAGCCAACUAGAGGCUUGCUAGGGACAGUGUUUUGUCUAUGUAUCCACACAUGUAAAUGAGUCUUCAUUCAAUACAAUUAUAGCAUGGAUAAUAAACGAUUAUCUUGAUACAGGAAUUAUAAUAAUAACUAUAUUUAUUAUUUCCUCUAGGGCAUAAUUCCAACAGUCUCCCACUUGCACUAGAGUCAAUAAUCUAGCCCUCACAUCAUCAUGCGAAUUACAUUGUAAUAAAUCUAACACCCAUACAGUUCUGGUGUUGAUCAUGCUUUGGUCGUGGAAGAGGUUUAGUCAGCGGGUCUGCUACAUUCAGAUCCGUGUGCACUUUGCAUAUAUUUACGUCCUCUCCUUCGACGUAGUCGCGGAUGAGGUUGAAGCGUCGUUUGAUGUGUCUGGACUUCUUAUGAAACCGUGGUUCCUUUGCUAAGGCAAUGGCACCCGUGUUGUCAUAGAACAAGGUUAUUAGAUUCAGUGCGCUUGGCACCACUCCAAGAUCCGUCAUGAACUGCUUCAUCCAGACACCCUCCUUAGCCGCCUCCGAGGCAGCCAUGUACUCCGCUUCACAUGUAGAAUCUGCUACGACGCUUUGCUUGGAACUGCACCAGCUUACCGCACCCCCAUUAAGAAUAAAUACGUAUCCGGUUUGCGACUUAGAGUCGUCCGGAUCUGUGUCAAAGCUUGCAUCGACGUAACCUUUUACGGCGAGCUCUUCGUCACCUCCAUACACGAGAAACAUUUCCUUAGUCCUUUUCAGGUACUUCAGGAUAUUCUUGACCGUUGUCCAGUGAUCCACUCCUGGAUUACUCUGGAACCUACCUGCCAUACUUAUGGCCAGGCUAACGUCCGGUCUAGUGCAUAGCAUUGCAUACAUGAUAGAACCUAUGGCUGAAGCAUAGGGGACGGAGCGCAUAUGCUCUCUAUCUUCAUCAGUUGCUGGGCACUGAGUCUUACUCAAUCUCGUACCUUGUAAAACUGGCAAGAACCCCUUCUUGGACUGUUCCAUUUUGAACCUCUUCAAAACUUUAUCAAGGUAUGUGCUUUCUGAAAGUCCUAUCAGGCAUUUUGAUCUAUCCCUAUAGAUCUUAAUGCCUAGAAUGUAAGCAGCUUCUCCUAGGUCCUUCAUAGAGAAACUUUUAUUCAAGUAAUCCUUUAUGCUCUCCAAAAACUCUAUGUUGUUUCCAAUCAGCAAUAUGUCAUCCACAUAUAAUAUUAGAAACGCCACAGAGCUCCCACUCACUUUCUUGUAAAUACAAGAUUCUCCAACCACUUGUAUAAACCCAAAUGCUUUGAUCACCUCAUCAAAGCGUUUGUUCCAACUCCGAGAUGCUUGCACCAGUCCAUAAAUGGAUCGUUGGAGCUUGCACACCUUGUUAGCAUUCUUAGGAUCGACAAAACCUUCGGGUUGCAUCAUAUACAAUUCUUCCUUAAGGAAACCGUUAAGGAACGCCGUUUUGACAUCCAUCUGCCAGAUUUCAUAAUCGAAAAAUGCAGCUAUUGCUAACAUGAUUCUGACGGACUUAAGCAUCGCUACGGGUGAGAAUGUCUCAUCGUAGUCAACUCCUUGAACUUGUGAAAAACCCUUUGCCACAAGUCGAGCUUUAUAAACGGUCACAUUGCCGUCAGCGUCCGUCUUCCUCUUAAAGAUCCAUUUGUUCCGAAUAGCCUUGCGGCCCUCAGGCAGUACCUCCAAAGUCCACACUUUGUUCUCAUACAUGGAUCCUAUCUCGGACUUCAAGGCUUCUAGCCAUUUGUUGGAAUCUGGGCCCACCAUUGCUUCUUCAUAAUUUGCAGGUUCAUUGUUGUCCAACAACAUGAUUGAUAAGACGGGAUUACCGUACCACUCUGGAGCAGCACGUGGUCUCGUCGACUGCGUGGUUCGACAGAAACUUGAAUCGGAGUUUCAUGAUCAUCAUCAUUAACUUCCUCCUCAACCGGCGUCGCAACGACAGAGGUUUCCCCUUGCCCUGCGCCACCAUCCAGAGGGAUGAGAGGUUCGACAACCUCGUCAAGUUCUAUCUUCCUCCCACUCAAUUCUCUCGAGAGAAACUCCUUCUCGAGAAAAGCUCCGUUUUUAGCAACAAACACUUUGCCCUCGGAUUUGAGAUAGAAGGUGUACCCAACUGUCCCUUUUGGGUAACCUAUGAAGAUGCACUUUUCCGCUUUGGGUUCCAGCUUUUCAGGCGGAAGCUUUUUGACAUAAGCAUCCCAUCCCCAAACUUUAAGAAACGACAACUUUGGCCUUUUGCCAUACCACAGUUCGUAUGGUGUCGUCUCAACGGAUUUUGAUGGUGCCCUAUUUAAAGUGAAUGCAGCUGUUUCUAAUGCAUAACCCCAAAACGAUAACGGCAAAUCGGUAAGAGACAUCAUAGAUCGCACCAUCUCUAAUAAAGUACGAUUACGACGUUCGGACACACCAUUACGCUGUGGUGUUCCAGGCGGUGUCAACUGUGAAACAAUUCCACAUUGUCUUAAGUGAGCACCAAACUCGAAACUCAGAUAUUCACCCCCACGAUCAGACCGUAGAAACUUGAUCUUCUUGUUACGAUGAUUUUCAACUUCACUCUGAAAUUGCUUGAACUUUUCAAAUGUUUCAGACUUGUGCUUCAUUAAGUAGACAUAACCAUAUCUACUCAAAUCGUCAGUGAAGGUGAGAAAAUAACGAUAUCUGCCGCGUGCCUCUACGCUCAUCGGACCACACACAUCGGUAUGUACGAUUUCCAACAAGUCACUUGCACGCUCCAUUGUUCCGGAGAACGGAGUUUUAGUCAUCUUGCCCAUGAGGCAUGGUUCGCACGUGUCAAGUGAAUCAAAGUCAAGUGACUCUAAAAGUCCAUCGGCAUGGAGUUUCUUCAUGCGCUUUACACCAAUAUGACCUAAGCGGCAGUGCCACAAAAAUAUGGCGCUAUCAUUGUUAACUCUAACGCUUUUGGUCUCAAUGUUAUGUAUGUGUGUAUCGCUAUCAAGAUUCAAUAUGAACAAUCCUCUCACAUUGGGUGCAUGACCAUAAAAGAUGUUACUCAUAGAAAUAGAACAACCAUUAUUCUCUGACUUAAAAGAGUAACCGUCUCGCAAUAAACAAGAUCCAGAUAUAAUGUUCAUGCUCAACGCAGGCACUAAAUAACAAUGAUUCAAGUUCAUAACUAAUCCUGAUGGUAACUGAAGUGAAACUGUGCCGACGGCGAUUGCAUCAACCUUGGAACCAUUUCCUACGCGCAUCGUCACUUCAUCUUUCGCCAGCCUUCGUCUAUUCCGCAGUUCCUGUUUCGAGUUGCAAAUAUGAGCAACAGAACCGGUAUCGAAUACCCAGGCACUACUACGAGAGCCGGUUAAGUACACAUCAAUAACAUGUAUAUCAAAUAUACCUGAUUUUUCUUUGGCCGCCUUCUUAUCUGCCAGAUACUUGGGGCAAUUGCGCUUCCAGUGACCCAUACCCUUGCAAUAGUAACACUCUGUUUCAGGCUUAGGUCCAGCUUUGGGUUUCUUCGUUGGAUUGGCAACAGGCUUGCCGCUCUUCUUUGAAUUACCCUUCUUUCCUUUGCCGUUUCUCUUGAAACUAGUGGUCUUAUUCACCAUCAACACUUGAUGCUCUUUACGGAGUUCAGACUCUGCGACUUUCAGCAUCGCAAACAACUCGCCGGGUGACUUGUUCAUCCCUUGCAUGUUGUAGUUCAACACAAUGCCUUUAUAGCUUGGCGGCAGUGAUUGAAGGAUUUUGUCAGUGAUAGCCUCUUGCGGGAGUUCAAUCCCCAGCUCAGCUAGACGGUUUGAGUACCCAGACAUUUUGAGCACAUGUUCACUGACAGACGAGUUCUCCUCCAUCUUGCAAGCAUAGAAUUUAUCGGAGGUCUCAUACCUCUCGAUCCGGGCGUUCUUCUGAAAGAUAAACUUCAACUCCUGGAACAUCUCAAAUGCUCCAUGAUGCUCAAAGCGACGUUGAAGUCCCGGUUCUAAGCCAUACAAGACUGCACAUUGAACUACUGAGUAGUCCUCCUUACGUGCUAACCAAGCGUUCUUAACAUCCUGAUCAGCCGUAGCGGGUGGUUCAUCUCCUAGCGCAGCAUUAAGGACAUAAUCCUUCUUCCCAGCUUGUAAGAUUAGCUUAAGAUUACGAGCCCAGUCUACAAAGUUGCUUCCAUCAUCUUUCAACUUAGCUUUCUCUAGGAACGUAUUAAAAUUCAGGAUGACUAUCGCGUGAGCCAUGAUCUACAACACAAAUAUAUUCAAAGUGGACUUAGACUAUGUUCAAGAUAAUUAGAGUUCAACUUAAUCAAAUUAUAUGCUAAACUCCCACUCAAAAAGUACAUCUCUCUAGUCAUUUGAGUGGUUCAUGAUCCACUUACACUAUCCCAAGUCCGAUCAUCACGUGAGUUGAGUAUAGUUUCAGUGGUAAGCAUCCCUAUGCUAAUCAUAUCAACUAUAUGAUUCAUGAUCGACCUUUCGGUCUCAUGUGUUCCGAGGCCAUGUCUGCACAUGCCAGGCUCGUCAAGCUUAACCCGAGUGUUCCGCGUGCGCAACUGUUUUGCACCCGUUGUAUGUGAACUUUGAGUCUAUCACACCCGAUCAUCACGUGGUGUCUCGAAACGACGAACUGUAGCAACGGUGCACAGUCGGGGAGAACACAAUUUCGUCUUGAAAUUUUUUAGUGAGAGAUCACCUCAUAAUGCUACCGUCGUUCUAAGCAAAAUAAGGUGCAUAAAAGGAUUAACAUCACAUGCAAUUCAUAAGUGACAUGAUAUGGCCAUCAUCACGUGCUUCUUGAUCUCCAUCACCAAAGUACCGGCACGAUCUUCUUGUCACCGGCGCCACACCAUGAUCAUCCAUCAACGUGUUGCCAUCGGGGUUGUCGUGCUACUUAUGCUAUUACUACUAAAGCUACAUCCUAGAAAAAUAGUAAACGCAUCUGCAAGCACAAACGUUAGUAUAAAGACAACCAUAUGGCUCCUGCCGGUUGUCGUACCAUCGACGUGCAAGUCGAUAUUUCUAUUACAACAUGAUCAUCUCAUACAUCCAACAUAUCACAUCACAUCGUUGGCCAUAUCACAUCACAAUCACACCCUGCAAAAACAAGUUAGACGUCCUCUAAUUUUGUUGUUGCAUGUUUUACGUGGUGACCAAGGGUAUCUAGUAGGAUCGCAUCUUACUUACGCUAACACCACAACGGAGAUAUAUGAGUUGCUAUUUAACCUCAUCCAAGGACCUCCUCGGUCAAAUCCGAUUCAACUAAAGUUGGAGAAACCGUCACUUGCCAGUCAUCUUUGAGCAAAGGGGGUUACUCGUAACGAUGAAACCAGUCUCUCGUAAGCGUACGAGUAAUGUCGGUCCAAGCCGCUUCAAUCCAACAAUACCGCGGAAUCAAGAAAAGACUAAGGAGGGCAGCAAAACGCACAUCACCGCCCACAAAAACUUUUGUGUCUUACUCGAGAAGACAUCUACGCAUGAACCUAGCUCAUGAUGCCACUGUUGGGGAACGUCGCAUGGGAAACAAAAUUUUCCUACGUGCACGAAGACCUAUCAUGGUGAUGUCCAUCUACGAGAGGGGAUGAGUGAUCUACGUACCCUUGUAGAUCGUACAGCAGAAGCGUUAGAGAACGCGGUUGAUGUAGUGGAACGUCCUCACGUCCCUCGAUCCGCCCCGCGAACAAUCCCGCGAUCAGUCCCACGAUCUAGUACCGAACGGACGGCACCUCCGCGUUCAGCACACGUACAGCUCGACGAUGAUCUCGGCCUUCUUGAUCCAGCAAGAGAGACGGAGAGGUAGAAGAGUUCUCCGGCAGCGUGACGGCGCUCCGGAGGUUGGUGAUGACCUUGUCUCAGCAGGGCCCCGCCCGAGCUCCGCAGAAACGCGAUCUAGAGGAAAAACCGUGGAGGUAUGUGGUCGGGCUGCCGUGGCAAAAGUUGUCUCAAAUCAGCCCUAAAACCUCCGUAUAUAUAGGUGGGAGGGAGGGGGGCCUUUCCUUGGGGUCCAAGGACCCUCAAGGAGUCGGCCGAGCCAAGGGGGAGGACUCCUCCCCCCCCCCAAACCGAGUUGGACUAGGUUUGGUGGGAGGGAGUCCCCUCCCUUCCCACCUCCUCCCUUUUUUUUUUCUUUUUCCUUUGAUUUCUUAUCCUUGGCGCAUAGGCCCCUUUUGGGCUGUCCCACCAGUCCCACUAAGGGCUGGUGCGCCACCCUAAUGGCCUAUGGGCUUCCCCGGGUUGGGUUGCCCCCCCCUGUGAACUCCCAGAACCCAUUCGUCAUUCCCGGUACAUUCCCGGUAACUCCGAAAACCUUCCGGUAAUCAAAUGAGGUCAUCCUAUAUAUCAAUCUUCGUUUCCGGACCAUUUCGGAAACCCUCAUGACGUCCGUGAUCUCAUCCGGGACUCCGAACAACAUUCGGUAACCAACCAUAUAACUCAAAUACGCAUAAAACAACGUCGAACCUUAAGUGUGCAGACCCUGCGGGUUCGAGAACUAUGUAGACAUGACCCGAGAGACUCCUCGGUCAAUAUCCAAUAGCGGGACCUGGAUGCCCAUAUUGGAUCCUACAUAUCCUACGAAGAUCUUAUCGUUUGAACCUCAGUGCCAAGGAUUCGUAUAAUCCCGUAUGUCAUUCCCUUUGUCCUUCGGUAUGUUACUUGCCCCGAGAUUCGAUCGUCAGUAUCCGCAUACCUAUUUCAAUCUCGUUUACCGGCGAGUCUCUUUACUCGUUCCGUAAUACAAGAUCCCGCAACUUACACUAAGUUACAUUGCUUGCAAGGCUUGUGUGUGAUGUUGUAUUACCGAGUGGGCCCCGAGAUACCUCUCCGUCACACGGAGUGACAAAUCCCAGUCUUGAUCCAUAGUAACUCAACUAACACCUUCGGAGAUACCUGUAGAGCAUCUUUAUAGUCACGCAGUUACGUUGCGACGUUUGAUACACACAAAGCAUUCCUCCGGUGUCAGUGAGUUAUAUGAUCUCAUGGUCAUAGGAAUAAAUACUUGACACGCAGAAAACAGUAGCAACAAAAUGACACGAUCAACAUGCUACGUCUAUUAGUUUGGGUCUAGUCCAUCACGUGAUUCUCCCAAUGACGUGAUCCAGUUAUCAAGCAAUAACACCUUGUUCAUAAUCAGAAGACACUGACUAUCAUUGAUCAACUGGCUAGCCAACUAGAGGCAUGCUAGGGACGGUGUUUUGUCUAUGUAUCCACACAUGUAAAUGAGUCUUCAUUCAAUACAAUUAUAGCAUGGAUAAUAAACUAUCAUCUUGAUACAGGAAUUAUAAUAAUAACUAUACAUUUAUUAUUGCCUCUAGGGCAUAAUUCCAACAUUUAGAACAUAACAAGCUAUCAAAAAUGAAUAAAGAAAUAAAUAGAUGAAUGCAAACACCAUUCAAUCGCCAAAUGAUGAAUAAGGUUUUGCUCUAACGGAGUGCAACCCAUCGGAGAUGAGUGUAUCACUAUAACAAAGGAACUAUGAACAAAUGGGAAGCCAAGCGGGUAAAUGAGAGGGGCAUUCACUCUAGCAUAGAUAUCAAGUCAGCUAAGUUUCUCCACAUAGGAGAAUCUUUGCUAGGAUAACAUCAACAAUGAGUCGAGGGGGACGCCAAUGGCUCUACGUACCAUGGGUACAUAUAAAGUGCCGCCAUGGGAUCCGAUGGUGACCCCCGUGGACAAUGUGGAAAUACCCAAAUGGUUGCGCAACAAUGGUUCUACUCCUCCUCUCCUCGGGGACAAACAAUGUGAUCCAACCUCUCAAACCACUUUUUGAGAGUGAUCUAAAAUGCUAGGGCACUUCAUUCUGUCAUGUACACAUUACACAGGGUACCAUGAAGAUGAAGUUGAAGGAAGUGUAGCAACCGGGAAUUCACCCUAUGAAUGGUGGGGACCGUCUGGGUCUCCAAGUUGUUUGCCCCGAGUCUAAGACUUAAUUAUGACCUCCACGUCGAAUGCUAGAUGGGAUAGUAGAACCCCUUAUGUGCCAACUCGAUGGACUCCCAGUUUAUUGAUUCCGGCCAUCAAUGAUUAUCAAGGGGUUACAUCGGGUAAUCCAUGACAUAAAAACGAUGAUGAUACAUUUUAUUCAUCAAAAUGAUGUUCCAAUAUUCAUAACAUGCUAAAAUAUGUAUUACAUAGUGAUUAGAAGUAAGCAAAAAUUAAUCUACAUCAGUAAAAACAUACUCCCUCCGUUUCUAAAUAUAAGUCUUUUUAGAUAUUUCACUAGGAGACUACAUACGAAGCAAAAUGAGUGAAUCUAUACCUUAAAGUAUGUCUAUAUACAUCCGUAUGUAGUCUCCUAGUGAAACCUCUUAAAAGACUUAUAUUUAGGAACGGAGGGAGUAUAAUAGAAGCAUGUAUAUUAAGAUAGCAUGUUAAGCGCGUCCUAGACGUGAAUAAUUGGCCCUAAAAUCGAAUUCCCGCGGCUCUUUUAUGCCAAUAAAAAAAUGCAUUUUAGCUAAGAGAGCUAUUAUGCAAAAUGUGCAUGACCAUCCGCCCCGACAGCAGGCCGAACAUGGUAUGUCAGCCCACUUAAAAUACCACACCGCCAUCGCCUUUUUUAGAUGCAGCUACCAAAAUGGCCUUGUCCACUCGGGGCCAUUGGACCGGCCUGCUCACUGCACUUCCCAUUAGGAGGGCUGCGCUAGGGUUUCCCCUCCUUGAUGAUUGGCUCAAGGCGUUUAAUGGUGGAGAUGACCACAGAAAGGUCAUCACCUCCUUGAUGAUGCAUGUCUCAUGAAAAAUUAGGAAGGAGCGAAACACAAAUUUUUUUGAAAGGUCUUCACCGCGACCUUCAUUGUUAUCGCAAAAAUAAAAGAGGAGGCUCAUCUUUAAAUUUUGGCAGGAACCAAGCAGCAGAUCACACGUCCAAAACAUACUUUUCUCACAGAGGCUCUCUCACGCCGCUCCCAUGGGCGGCUCGGGAGAGCAAAAUCCAGCCCGCCGUCGGGAGGCCACCCACCGCGGCUGCUCCCCUUGCCGUCGCUAGUGUGUUCAGCAGGGCAAAGCCUGUGCAGUAUAGGCGGCGGCGGGGCCGUCGAUCACUUACGCACAGGCUCAAGUGGCGCGCGGGUGUCCCGAUUUGGUGGGGGCUGGAGCUCAGCGAGGUGAGGUGUGUGGAGGAGUGCGAGUGGGGCGCGCUCGCGACGUGCUUGCGCCAUGGCGCGCUACAGGUGCGGGGCUGUGCGGAUCUCGCUUGGGCAGGUGGGGAUGGCUCGGGGCUGCGCGGAUCUGGCACAGUCGCCGGUGCGCGAGGCGAGCGGAGGUGUGGGGUUGCACGGACGACCGGCUGCUGCAGUGUGCAUCCUUCGUUCCGGUGUGGCGGAUCCGGCUAGCAUGUUGGGGCUUGUUUUGGGGAGGCGACGACGCGCGGUUGCGCACAGGCCGGCCAGAUCUGGGCAUGUCCAAGCCGGAAGCUGGUUGCGGCGCGUUGUGGGAGAGGUUCGAGGAUGCGGCUGCUGUAGUUGUGUGCGGGUCGGCCAUGACCUGUACUUGCCGGAUGGUGGUGGUGCUCGGUUGCUGCUUGACGGAGGAGGGAGGCUCCAUCCGCGGUUGGAUGCAGGGUGCAGGACCCGAUAUGGUCUCUGCAGGCCCGUCGUCGAGGAGGAAGGCUGGUGGUCCUGCACAGUGGUGGUGUGCUCGCCGGAUGGGGGAUAUGCGUGGUCCAGUGGAGGUACGGGUCGACCUCGGCCUACUGCAUGUGAGUGGGUGCACCGGGUGAAAGCCUGGCCGAUGCUGGCCGGCCGCCGGCUCCCGCGGGCUUCGCUAUUCUCCUUGGAGGCGUCGUUUGGAUUCUUCACAGCUUAUGCUCAUGGAUCAUGUUCUUCGGGUGAAAGCCCACAUCCCGAUGCAGGGUCGGGCGAUGGCGUCGUCUUCAGCGUCGUUCCCCUAUUACGGCGUCGUCUUGAAGCUCUUGAUCCCCUCUGGUGCUUCCUAUGAUUGGACGUGUACAGUGCCUUGUGUGGCAACAAUGAUGGUGAUGAGCAAUAUCGGAGGUAUGGUAUUGGUCGUGGUAGUCGACUCUUCUUCUGCGAAGUGUCUGUGGAGUUGCCUCGACUGCUUGUUGUUGUGAAGUUGAAGCCGCGGUGGCGGUGUCAGGUGGUAUAUGAUGACGCGUGGUAGUCGGUUCGUUCCAUGAUCCUCCGUGACGUCAACCUUGCCUAGUUUCUUCGUAGUUCAUCGUUGGAGUCGGAGCUGCGUUGUCUUGUGUGGAUUGUACGGAGGGUUGCUGUUUUUUUCUUUGAUCUUCGAAUCUUUUGGUCCUAGGACCUUCAUCACCUUAUUGUUUUCUGUUGCUCUCUGCUAUUAUCAAUGAAUGCCAACGAUGUUGUAUCUUUUAAAAAAACGAGAACCAAGGAGCUUAGGCCCUGUUUGGAACCAAAAUAUAUUAUGAUAAUUUAAAUUAUGAAGAUAGAUUAUAUAAUCAGGUUUAUAAAAAUAAUCUAGAUGCGCAUUUUAGAGGCCAGAUUAUAUAAACAUAAAUCCAUGUUUAGAGACUAGAUUAUGAUAAAUAGUCUGUCUUGUGCGUGCAUUGAGGAGAAAAAAAAGGAUCGUGGUGGCAGAAAUUAGUAAUUAUCUCCAACUUUAUAAGGAUAGUGGAUCAUUAGUAAUUCAUAAUCUGAUUUUAUCUGAUGUAGUGUAGAUUGUGAGUUUUUAAUGAUCUGUUCAUUUAAUUUUUAUAAUUUACAACAUAAUAUGUCCUGUUUGGAGAUAAUAUAAAUGACAAAAACUGAAUUAUCAUAACCUUAAUAUUGUUAUGUCUCGAGAGUAGAUCUUCUUUUUUUCGUCGCCUCGCGGCUUAUGUCUAAAUCUUUUUCUUGUUUAAUUUUUGUCCACAUACUUACAAUAUCCAGCACGUGAUCUUGAAAUCAACCAAUGACCGGACGAAGACUGGCCGACGACACAAACAAACCAUCCAUUACAACAAAUGUUUUUUGAAAGCUCCGCAUUACAACAAUCUUUAGAGUAGUCACAUUUUCUAUUGGGAAAAGAUUACAUUCCACCGGUUGAUCCGGUUGAUCCAUCCGCCGCCCGCUCGUCUGUUAAAUCUCGCCUCGAUCACGAACCAUUUCCCGAAACUGGCUCGUUGUUUUAGGAACGGGGCUGAAGCUGGAGCACUCCAGGUUCCUCGUCUUGGCUCCUCUACUACCGGGGACGAGCCUGCCGGAGUCUGGUGAACCGCCGCCGCCGUUGGUCCUCGCCAGCUCGCCGGAUCCCCACCUCGCCGACGAGAUCCAGCCCCUCGUCGGAUCCCCACCUCGCGCGGUGAACGAGGAGGUGUGUGGCGCGGACGCCGGCGAGCUCCCGCCGCCGGGGAGCUUCUCUGCCUCGCUGGAGAUGCGUCCAUGCUCGCGCGUCCGACUCUUCAUUGAGCAUGGGUCCCAGCUGCAACGUGACUUUCGUUACAAAAAUUCCUGAAACUCGACCGUUGUUUCAGAAAUUAACGGAUUCAAAGUUUAUUUCUUGCAACAAAGCGAAAGUUUCUGCAACUCGAGCGUCGUUUCAGGAAAUAACUUCUGACCAUGCGACGGGGAUGCGGGGCGUUAGAUCGACAUCCGACGGCUAGCUAGGUGACGGAUAAUUUUCAAAAGUCAUUCGACGAACACGUAGGGUUCCCCUUUUCUAUUUGCCAUGGAAAGCAAAUAUUACAUGUCAGGAACUGAAUGCCUGACGAUCAAACCACCCGACUCAUUUAUUUAGCUGCAGUACUACUACUGUACGUACACACAGAAAGGACGAGCAGAUGAAUUUAACCGGCAGCGCUCCGCGCGGAUCAGCUGUUAGCCGCCGGCAGCCGGCUUGAAGGACGUGAGCUUGCGGGUCCUGCUCCAGUGCUCGUAGAUCUGCGCGAGAUAGGUCACCCUCUUGCCGGAGCCGUCCGCCGCGACCACGAAGAGGCGGUAGUUCAUCCCGGACACCACCUGCUGCUCGCCGCGCGUCACCCGGCGGAAGAGCAGCCCGUCCUUGGCUAGGCUGGCGUGCUGGGCCACCGCCCACCCGCCUAGCUCCUGGACGUGCGGGUCGUUCACGUCCUUGACGGGGCUCCACCCGCCCAGAAGCACGCCGCGGCGGCCGAGGGCCGAGGUGGCUGCGAGGGCCGUGGCCAGGAGGGCGAGCAGGAGGAGCGGUCUCCCCAUGGUCGAGUUCUUCUGCAUUUGGUUUCCCUUUGGUUUUAACUUUUCGGUGUUGGGAGUUGGGAGCGGUGGUGGAUGUGUUAAGUAGGGCACUGCGUCAGGCGGGCCGGUUGGGGGCACGAUGGGUUGGGUUGUGACGGCGAUUUGUUGGACGGUUUUAGGCCCAUGGGUUUGGGGGCGCCGGCUGAGCGUAAGGCCUUUCAAACCGUGUCAUUUGGUCCCUCAGCAUGUUCUGAUCUCUUCGGAGCCUCUCAACGCAAAAAUACUAAAGGCGGUGUAUUUUCCUCACUCUGAUUUGCUUGAAGCAGAGGUUGGGAGUCAUCCGUCUCAGAUCUGAAAGGCGGUAUGCGAGGACACCUCUGUUUUAAAACACGGUCUUAUUCGAGGAAUUGGCAACGGGCUCGGUACAAGUAUUUGGAAUGAUAAUUGGAUCCCAAGGGAUCACAUGCUUCGUGCACUACAUCCAUGAAGUAAUAACCCGCAUAUGCUCGUUUCAGAUCUUAUCGAUCCGACAAACAGAAGAUGGAACAAGAAUCAUUUGCGUGAACAUCUUCAGGAGAUUGAUGUUCAGAGGGUUGUCAACAUCCCACUGAGCUCUUAUAACGGAAUAGAUGAGUUGGCUUGGCAUUAUGAGAGAUCUGGAUUAUUUUUUGUCAAAUGUGCGUACAGACUUCUAAUGAAAACGAAGAGAGUUUGAGAAAAUCGGCUAUAUGAAGUUUCGGAGAAUUCUAACAUUGGAGGUAAUAUGCAUCAUUAGAAGAAGCUUUGGAAUAUGAAGGUGCCAGCAAAGCUUCGUAAUUUUGCUUGGCGUUUAGCCAAGAAUUCGGUUCCGACAGAAGUUGUUCGUCAUAACCGAAAUAUGUCAGAAUUGGAUGUUUGUCCAUUUUGUAAUGCAGCUGAAGACAUUUGGAAGCAUGCUCUGGUUCAAUGCCUCAUGGCAAAGAGCAUCUAGUCUUUAGUCGAUGAUGAACUGGUGGAACACAUGAUAACUUGCAAUCACGGUGAUGCUAAGCUCUGGCUUUUUGAGCUUCAGGAAUCGAUGGGGCAUGAGACUUUUGUGAAACUCAUUGUUACCUUGUGGUCGAUUUGGUGGGUGCAGAGAAAGGCUGUCCAUGAAGAGCAAUUUCAGUCUCCACUAAUCAUUUUUCUGUUCAUCCAAAGAUACAUGCUAGAUCUGCAGAUUUUAAAGGAUGAAACUCCUUUGCACAGACCCAUGGUGAACGGUCAGAGUCCGAAAUGGAUUGCUCCGCCUGCUGGGAGUGUUAAACUUCAUGUCGAUGCUGUUGUGGGUAGAAACAACGACAAGGGGGCUUUGGCAGUUCUCUGUCGAGACGAGUCUGGUGCUUACUUGGGCGCUUCUGCUAUUACUUUUCAGGAUUUGGUCGAUCCAGAAAUCCUAGAAGCAAUGGCGAGUUUGAAGGCCUUAUCUUUAGCUGCUGAUUUGGGCUGUGAGCGAAUUGUUGUUGCUACAGACUAUAUGACAACGAUCACACAUCUGAAGUAUGAGUACAAGGGACCCUCAGCAGUAAUGAUCCAAGAUAUUAAGCAAAGGAUGCAAGGCUUCAUUUCAGUUGAUUACAUCCAUAAGAAGCGGGAGAUGAAUCUUGAAGCUCACAAGCUUUCAAAAGCAGCGACUACUUUAGCUUUUGGCCGCCAUAUUUGGCUUUCUAUCUUACCUCACGUUAUAUGUAUCCCUGAUCUUGUUGUUAUUUAAGUUAAGUGGCUUUCACCCCUAAAAAACACGUUCUGGUCUCCAGUUCCCAUGGGUUUGGAGGCGCCGGCUGAUUGUACUACGUGUAAGGCCUGGUCUAGCUCAAAAAAAUAAGGCAAAGAGGACCCGACCUGGUCUAGAUCAUUUAGGACAACGACCAUCAGCUAGAAAAAGAAUAACUAGAUCCUCUCCCNNNNNNNNNNNNNNNNNNNNNNNNNNNNNNNNNNNNNNNNNNNNNNNNNNNNNNNNNNNNNNNNNNNNNNNNNNNNNNNNNNNNNNNNNNNNNNNNNNNNUUAGUUCUUGACGGGGAUUGAUCCCUAGUAUCCACUAUGUUCUAGAUUGAUGUUGCUACUACUUGGCUAUGCUUAAUGCUUGUCACUAGGGCCCGAGUGCCAUGAUUUCAGAUCUGAACCUAUUAUGUUGUGGCCAAUAUAUUUGUGUUUUAGAUCCUAUCUUGCAAAUUGUAGUCACCUACUAUGUGUUAUGACCCGGCAACCCCGGAGUGACAAUAGGCGGAACCACUCCCGGAGAUGACCAUAGUAUGAGGAGUUCAUGUAUUCACCAAGUGUUAAUGCGUUGGUCCGGUUCUUUAUUAAAAGGAGAACCUUUAUAUCCCGUAGUUUCCACUAGGACCCCGCUGCCACGGGAGGGAUGGACAAUAGAUGUCAUGCAAGUUCUUUUCCCUAAGCACGUAUGACUACAUACAGAAUACAUGCCUACAUUAGAUCGACGAACGGGAGCUAGUUACAUAUCUAUCCGUGUUAUAGUUGUUACAUGAUGAAUCACAUCCGUCAUACUCAUCCAUCACCGAUCCACUGCCUACGAGUCUUUUACUACUGGUCCUCGCUACGUUACUUUGUCUAGGCUUGUCCCUGGCUACAAAAGGGAUUGGGCCACUUUGCUGUUGUUACUUGUUACUUUGCUGCUGCUGCUACUGCUCCUUACUACUCCGUUGUUACUUGUUGCAAGACUUUGUUGGCGCUGUUGCCAGGGAGGCUAGGUAAGUGGCACUAACAUCCCGUCAACAAGGCUUUUUCUGGCACCGUUGCUAUCAUACUACCUUGCUACUGAAACUUUUUUUGCAGACACUAGUCUUUCAGGUGUGGUUGAAACCGACACAUUCAGCUGCUAAUACUUGAGAAUAUUCUUUCGCUUCCCGUCGUGCGAACCAACAAAUUUGGGUCGAAUACUCUACCCUCGAAAACUGCUGCGAUCCCAUACGCUUGUGGGACAUCAAGGCUUUUUCUGGUGCCGUUGCCGGGGAAGCACAUCUAUAUUCUUUGAGUCACUUGGGAUUGACGUCUGCUCAUCACUAAGAGGAAUCCGAAAGAUCCAAGAACUAAAAUCCUACCGUCCACUACGAGGAGAGAGAUAGAAAAGGGAAAAGAUGAGGAGGUUCUUGAGAGGCUCGUCAAGCCGUGACCCCAAGGAUGAUGGGAGUGAGAAGAAGCCCAAGUAUCCGGUCCCUAGAGUCGCAGAAGUUCGCGCGUGCGAAUGGCCAAGCGAUGCGUUCUUACGCGCCGCUGGAAUUUAUGAGAACUUUUAUCACUUGGUGGAGAACGCAUGCCUUACCGCCUUCGUUGAAGAUAAGUGUUUGCAAUACCUCCUCCUCACUAAUAUCUUCGUACAAAGCUUUAACUUCUAUCCGAGGAAGAAUCCUCCUAUGGUUGAGUUUAAACUAUAUGAUGUCCCCCAGCGCAUGUCACUCCAGGAUUUUUGCAAUGUUUGCAAAUUACCUUAUGUUGGGGAUAUUCAUGAACAUCGUCCAUGGUACUUGGAAGCUUUUAUCGGUACAAUUGCUGUAGGAAAGGAGAGAGGAGUGUCUUGCGCUAGAGCUGCUAGCAUUCAUUUUCCCGUGCUUCGGUACUUCUCACUAUUUGUGGGAAAAUGUUUGAUUGGUCGUGGGAAAUCUGGGUCACUUAGUUCCCCAGAUCUUGCGAUCUUGAGCGAAGCCCUUUAUAACGAUAAAACUUAUAGCUUGGGCGCUAUAGUAGCUCAACGGUUGAACCUGAACCGUUCUAAAGGUGUUGUCUAUGGAGGUAUCUAUGCUACCCGUCUUGCCAGACACUUUGAGAUACCCAUUAGACUAGAGGAGGAAGAAGAGGUUCUUCUUCCCGAGAGAUAUCUAGAUUACGAUAGCAUGGUUCGCCAUGACUUUCUUGAUAGAGAUAUAUGUGGAAGGAUGAUUUAUAACCUGGUAUUUAGUCAGGUACUCGUGAGACUAUUACUUUGCCUGCUCCUUCUUUGUUCAAUCUUCAUGCAGGCAGGUACACUAUUAUGCCCUGGGACAUCUACGCAUAUUGGGGCCUAGCCCAACCACAGGUGCCCGUGCCUGAGCCACCAGUCGAGUACCAGACGCCAGUUUAUCAGUGGGAGCCGGAGGAGCUCACACAACAGUGGCAUCCUCAGUCCACUCCGGGGUACCCCGGAGCUGGUUAUUUCCCUCCUUGGGAGUAUACCAAGUUAGGCCAAAAUCCUAAGCUUGGGGGAGUACGUGUUCUCACCGACUUUACAUUCUUGCUUAUGCUUUCACUUCGUUAGUCGGUGUUCACACUUUGCCACUAUAUCAUCCAUGCUAGUUUAUUUUCUUUUUGUCGUUUUCUUUUCGUGUGUCUGUCUAGUUGGAGAAAAACCAAAAAGAUUUUCUUUUUCUUCUUUUGCUUGUUGGGAGCUUUCCUGUGUAGAUAGUUUUCUUUUUCUUUGGGUCAAGGUAGAAGACAUUGGUUACAAUGUUUAGUGGCUCUUGCAUGCAUACUUGUUUAGCUUUUAAAGAGCCAUAUUACUUUGUCUUCUCCUUUGUGUUUGCCUGUAGAUUCCAGCUUUAGUCCAUUGCACGAGCACGCUUAUUAUUGUUCACAUCAUUCGGUCGUGCAAGUGAAAGGCAAUAAUGACGAUAUAUGAUGAAGUGACUGAGCCUGGAAAAGCUGGUAUGAACUCGAUCUAUUUUGUUUUUGUAAAUAUGACUAGCUCAUUCUUCCUAGUUCAGCUUUGUUGUGAGAGAAACAUGUUUGCAAUGAAAACUUAGAGAUCAUGGUUUCUUAUGCCAUGCUUACUUAGCUAGGAGCUUAUAAUGGUUUGUCUUGGAUGCCCACAUGAAUGUUGAGAUGACUAUGAUGUAGUAUGAUAGGAUGGUAUCCUCCUUUGAAUGUUUUAAGUGGCUUGACUGGCGCAUGUUCACGCAUGUAGUUGAAACAAAAUCAACAUAGCCUCUAUGAUGUUCAUGUUCAUGGUGAUUUAUGUCCUACUCAUGCUUGCACUCAAUGUUGGUUAAUCUCAAUGCAUUUUGAUGACUGUUGUCGCUCUCUAGUUGGUCGCUUCCUAGUCUUUUGCUAGCCUUCACUUGUACUAAGCGGGAAUAUUGCUUGUGCAUCCACUUCCAUAAACCCAAAGGUGUGCCAUAUGAGUCCACCAUACCUACCUAUGUACGGUAUCUACCUGUCGUUCCAAGUAAAUUUGCAUGUGCCACUCUCUAAAUCUUCAAGAAAUAAUUUGUUUUGCAUGCCCGAACCGCUCAUGUGGUGACACGGGGCUAUUGGUAUCUUCCAUGCUAGGAGUGUUAUCCUCGAUAUGUGUUUAUUCACUAUCAUUCACGAGAAAGGGGCCGAUAAUUGGAAUUCCCAGUUCCAUGCUCAAAUCGAAAAGAUAAUUGCAAACAAAACUCCCCCAGGAUUGAUGUUGGUAUGGACGGUACCCGAGGAUUCGGCUAGCCAUGGAGUGUGAUUGAUUGGUGGUGGGGGAGUCAAAACUUUACUUUUCUGUUUGGGAACCGCCUAUAGUAUGUGUAGCGUGGAAGAUGUUGAGAACUCUUAGUCAUUGCGUUGACAAUGAAAGGAUGCCACCCAAAAUUAUUAUCUCUGUUUUCAAAGCUUGAGCUCUGGCACCUGUGCAAAUCAAUGCUUCCCUUUGCGAAGGGCCUGUCUAUUUAUGUUCCUGUUGAGUCAUCCUCCUCUUACAAAAGCACCAAUUAGAGAGCACCUCUAUCAUUUUUAUGCUUUGCUUUUAACUGGGUUGAGUAUGACUAUGACUGGAUCUUCAUUGCCAUGAAUUACAAUGUUUAGUCAGCCCUUGGUCUUUGAAGGUGCUCUGCAUUUAUGUUUUGCGGUCUCAGAAAGAGCUAGCGAGAUACCAUCUAUUCGUACUGCUUCAUGUUGUUUUGAUUGAAGUGUUGACGUUUGAGGCUUAUUAUUAUUUGCUCGCUAGUUGAUUAUGCCAUUGAUAUGAGUUUACCGUGAGACCUAGAUGUCAUUUGCUUAUGUGGUUUGAUUGUGAUCUUGCUGAAAUUCUGGUUGUGAGUUAGACAUAGUUGCAACAACAAUGUCAAACAUAGUUCGUCAAAGUUUUUCUUUAGUGUGUCUCAGUUUUGUCAACUGAGUUGCUUGAGGACAAGCAAGGCUUUAAGCUUGCGGGAGUUGAUACGUCUCCGUCGUAUCUACUUUUCUGAACUCUUUUGCCCUUGUUUUGGACUCUAAUUUGCAUGAUUUGAAUGGAACUAACCCGGACUGACGCUGUUUUCAGCAGAAUUGCCAUGGUGUUGUUUCUGUGCAGAAAUAGAAGUUCUCGGAACUUCCUGAAAAUUUACGGAGAUUUUUUCUGGAAAUAAAAGAAAAAUACAUGCGCAAAGAUCCGACCGGGAGGGGGCGUGCCAGUGGGCCACAAGCCCACACGGCGCGGCCACCCCCCUACGGCCGCGCCAUGCAGGCUUGUGGGGCCCACGUGGCACCACCGCCCCCAAUCUCAGUCCUAUAUCUUCCGUUUCGCCUGGAAAAAAAAAAUACAGAGAGAAGGUUUCAUCGCGUUUUGCGAUACGGAGGCGCCGCCACAUCCUGUUCUUCAUCUGGAGGGCAGAUCUGGAGUCCGUUUCGGGCUCCGGAGAGGGGAAAUCGUCGCCAUCGUCAUCAUGAACCUUUCUCCGUCGACAAUUCCAUGAUACUCUUCAUCGUUCGUGAGUAAUCUCAUCAUAGGCUUGCUGGACGGUGAUGAGUUGGAUGAGAUCUAUCAUGUAAUCGAGUUAGUUCUUGACGGGGAUUGAUCCCUAGUAUCCACUAUGUUCUAGAUUGAUGUUGCUACUACUUGGCUAUGCUUAAUGCUUGUCACUAGGGCCCGAGUGCCAUGAUUUCAGAUCUGAACCUAUUAUGUUGUCGCCAAUAUAUGUGUGUUUUAGAUCCUAUCUUUCAAGUUGUAGUCACCUACUAUGUGUUAUGACCCGGCAACCCCGAAGUGACAAUAGCCGGAACCACUCCCGGAGAUGACCAUAGUAUGAGGAGUUCAUGUAUUCACCGCGUGUUAAUGCGUUGGUCCGGUUCUUUAUUAAAAGGAGAACCUUAAUAUCCCGUAGUUUCCAUUAGGACCCCGCUGCCACGGGAGGGAUGGACAAUAGAUGUCAUGCAAGUUCUUUUCCCUAAGCACGUAUGACUACAUACGGAAUACAUGCCUACAUUAGAUUUAUGAACGAGAGCUAGCCACAUAUCUCUCUGUGUUAUAGCUGUUACAUGAUGAAUCACAUCCGUCACACUCAUCCAUCAACGAUCCAGUGCCUACGAGUCUUUUACUACUGGUCCUCGCUACGUUACUUUGCCUAGGCUUGUCCCUUGCUACAAGAGGGAUUGGGCCACUUUGCUGCUAUCACUACUGCUGUUACUUUGCUGCUGCUAUCGCUACUGCUGUUACUUGUUAAUUUGCUGCUGCUGUUACUACUGUUCCUUGCUACUCCACUGUUAGUUGUUGCAAGACUUUGUUGGCACUAAUCUCCCGUCAACGUGCCUUAUUAUGGCGCCAUUGCUGGGAAUUGCCAAAGCUUUUUCUGGUGCCGUUGCUAUUACCUUGCUACUGAUAAUUUGCUUGCACACACUAAUCUUUCAGGUGUGGUUGAAUUGAUAACUGAGCUGCUAAUACUUGAGAAUAUCCUUUAGCUUCCCCUUGUGGGCGAAUCAAUAAAUUUGGGUUGAAUACUCUACCCUCGAAAACUGGUGCGAUCCCAUACGCUUGUGGGACAUCAGUGCCUCGUUCCCCGCCUCGCCUUCUGACGCCGUCGCCCCGACGAAGCAGGUCGCCGCCGCCCUGGUCAGCCCCCGAUCCAGAUCGGAUCGGGAAGACCCCCCCCGCGCGAUGAGAGGUCUAGCGCAUCGCCCCGUCCUAGGCCUCCCCCGCAUAGCGGCCUAGCACCAGCACCCCGUUGACCUGCACCAACCGCUGCGGCCCAGAGCGCCCCGAGCCGGCCCACGCCAGUCGGGCUCCCCACCAGCUCGCGGCCCACGCCGCCCUAGCCUCCUCCGCCUGGGCUAGGCCCAAGAGUAAGGUGUGGCCGCCCCGAGCCUCUAUUUUUUUCCCGCUCGUGCGCUGUAUAGUGUUGUCGCGUUUUGGCACUGUAGACCCAAUUAGUUAGAUUCGGCCGAGUAGUAUUUUAGGAUUUAAUCUGAAUUUAAUUCUUUUUCAAGAAAUAGGUUAUAUUUCGAACACCCGUAGUUUAAUAUCCGUAUGUCGGAUCGCGAUGAAUUAGAUACGGAUCUUGUGUAGAUUCUUGCGUAGAUUACGAUUUUGCAACUUGCAUAAAUGUUUGAAGUAGUUUGACGUGUCGAAUGUCUAGUUUUGCGUGGUGGCUCAAUAGGAUAAUUGCCCGUAUUUAUUUUUCGCGUGUGUUCGAAUUGCUCGAACUCCGUAGAUAAAAUGCUCAUGUUUUAGGAACCCUUGUGCCAUGCAUUUUAGAGUAGUCUUUGGUAUUUUUCCAUGUAGGGUUUAGUCGUUAGUUAAUAUUUCGCGUUUAGGGCAUAUUCCCGCAUAUACGUGUGACGUUGUUUUCAUUUUUGCAACCCCACAUAUUAUAUAUGUUUUUGGGGUAGAAAAAUCCAUAGGAUUUAACUGUGCAUUUCGUUUUAGCUUUUGAGCAAGUUAGUUCGUGUUUUUUUUGCCAUGUUGCCCUUUUGUUUAUUUUUGUGGGAUUUAUUGCGUGCUUGAUAUGAUUAAGUUGUCAACUAGAGAGUUGCUCUUGGAUGUUUAGUCUAGCCCAUGGUAUUUUUGGUUGCAAUAGAAAUCCAUGUCUAGGUGUGGUUUGAUUGCUCUCAACUUGCUAGGAAAUAGUGCUGAUUUGGAGAUGCUGAAAUAUUUCUAAGUCUGAAAUCUGUUAUAUUUUGUUGCUGUCUUUGCAUGAGUUUAUCUAGUGAUCUGUAGCUUUUUUGAGGUUGGUGCAAUGGAGUUAGUUGUAGGAUUUAGGAUUCUCUAGCAUGCCGUGAAUUUUCAUGCCAUUUGGAGUCCUGUAGCUUAUGGUUUUGCUGCUGCCAAUAUGCCUUCACAUCGAAAACUGCAGUUUCAUAAACUGUUAUUUUCACCAAGUCUGAAAUAGUGUGUGAAAAGUCCAUUUGUGUACUUCUUUUCCUAGUGAUCAAUGCUUCCAUGCUAGGUGUUGUUAGUUGUAUGUUGUAGUGCUUCUUGCCCUCUAUCGUGUCAUGCCUUGGUUGAGUAUAUUGGAUUAGUGUAGCUCGUAGUUGUGGGGUGUAGAAAAUGCUAUGUGGCUGAUUUUGGCAGAUUGUAGUGAUUUCUUGUUUAGCUCGUAGUUGUUGAACCGUUGCUCCGUUUUGAUCGUGUCCUAUAUGAAAGUUGCUUACAAUCUCGUGUAGUUUCAUAUUAUCUUGCUGGUUGUAUGUUUUGAAAUGCUUGUGACUGCCAUUUGCACACAUAUUGCAUUCAUGCCCCCUUAUCUUGCGGUUGUCGUAUCUUUUGAACCGUAGCUCCGUUGGAGAUGUUCUCUAUGUGUAAAUUGCUUGUAACGACGCGUAGAAUCACAUGAACCUAUUUGUUUUGCUGUUUAACAACUAAUUAAAUGUGUUAGUUCAGAUCUGGACAGAAUUGUAAAUUAACAUGUGAGGUCGUUUUGGAGGUGCUAUAUGUCAUUUCCGACCUCAUUUAAAAUGCCUAGAUAGGUAGCUUAAUUACGCUUCACCUCUUGCCAUGAGUAACCACAUUUAAUAUUGCCAUGUACCUAAUCGGGUUAGAACUAAAUAACUCAUAUGUGGAGUUUUGUCGAUAUGCAACUCGUUGCAUAUUGAACUUCACUUAAUGUGUAGUGUUUGAUUGUUGUGAAUUGCCAUGCCGUGUGUUGCAUAUACUCUUUUGUUCAUGCAUCAUAUGUGUUGUGCAUCAUGUGGUGAACAUCGUGUGUUGAUGCUUGUUUCCGGUUUGCUUCGUCUCGAUAGAGUUCCGCAAGCGUGUCGGAUUGUGAGGACCCGUUCGACUACAUCGAUUCGUCUGCUUCACGGAGUCAUUCUUCUUACAAGCGGGAUCUCAGGCAAGAUGACCAUUUCCCCAUAUACCCUUACUAUCAUUACGAUGCUAGUAUUAUCGUUUCUAUCGAUUAUGUCUCGUUGCCUACCACUUGUUAAACAUUAGCCUCUCAACAAUGCCAUGAAAACCUUCAACCUGUUCACAACCUAGCAAACCACUGAUUGGCUAUGUUACUGCUUGCUUAACCAUGUGUUAGCGUUGCUAGUUGCAGGUGCAGUUGCUUCCAUGUGAUAACAUGGGUUCCUUGUUAUAUCACCAUAUUUAAUGCUAUUUAAUUUUUAAUGCACCUAUAUACUUGGUAAAAGGUGGAAGGCUCGGCCUUUCUAGCCUAGUGUUUUGUUCCACCUUUGCCCUCUUAGUUUCAGAUACCGGUGUUAUGUUCCAUAAUUGAGCGCUCCUAACACGAUCGGGGUUGUUAUGGGGACCCCCUUGAUAAUUCGUCUUAGAUUAAAGCUGGUCUGGCAAGGCCCAACAUUGGUUCUACAUUUGCCCAACAUAAUAAUUCUGUUAAUAUUGAGAUGCAUAGGGAGUUAGCGCUACCCGAGGAGUAAUUCUACAUAUUACACGGGGGGGGGGGGGGUCAGCGAUGAUGGUGUUGGUCCAAAACAGAGCAGCUUACUAACGCUACCCGGGGCAACUCGGCGUCUGGCAUGGUAACCAUCGCUCAUCCGUCGUGUCCUCAGAACGAGAUACGCGGCUCCUAUCAGGAUCGUCGACACACCGGGCGGCCUUGCUGGAUUAGUUUUACCUUUGACGAAAUAUCUUGUGCAUCAGGAUUCCACUGAUGCUUUGGGUAAUCUCAGAGUUGAGGUUUUCCACUAAGGAGUCCAACGAGAUCGCGAGCUUCGUGAACGAGGAUUUCUAUGCGGCUUGUGGUAAUUUGUGAUGGAUUAGUUGGAGCACCCCUGCAGGGUUAAAUAUUUUCGGAAAGCCAUGCCCGCGGUUAUGUGGCAACGUGGAAACUUUGUUUAACACUGGUUCUAGACAACUUGAAGUUAACUUAGUUAAAAUAUGCCAACUGAGUGCGUAACCGUGACUGUCUCUUUCGUGAGUUCCUUCUCUGAACGAGGACACGGUGGGGUUAUGUUUGACGUAAGUAGUUAUUCAGGAUCAUUCAUUUGAUCACCAGUAGUUUACGUCCGCUUUGCGUAGAUCAUCCCCCUCUUAUUUCUUGUACUCGUAAGUUAGCCACCAAAUACAUGCUUAGUCGCUUGCUGCAGCCUCACCACUUAACCAUGUCCCACCUAAUAAGCUUUGCUAGUCUUGAUACCUUUGGAAAUGAGAUUGUUGAGUCCCCUGUGGAUCACAGAUUACUACAACACCAGUUGCAGGUACAGGUAAAGGUUACUUGACGCGAGCGCGUUGAUUGUUCAUUUGGAGUUGCUUCUU